CGGGAGCUGGAGGUGAUCCACUCCCGCUGGGCCAUGCUCGGCGCGCUCGGCUGCGUGUUCCCGGAGCUGCUCGCCCGCAACGGCGUCAAGUUCGGCGAGGCCGUGUGGUUCAAGGCGGGUUCGCAGAUCUUCAGCGAGGGCGGGCUGGACUACCUGGGCAACCCGAGCCUGAUCCACGCGCAGAGCAUCCUCGCCAUCUGGGCCUGCCAGGUCGUGCUCAUGGGCGCCGUCGAGGGGUACCGCAUCGCCGGCGGCCCACUCGGCGAGGUCGUCGACCCGCUCUACCCCGGCGGCAGCUUCGACCCACUCGGCCUCGCCGACGACCCCGAGGCCUUCGCCGAGCUCAAGGUGAAGGAGCUCAAGAACGGCCGCCUUGCCAUGUUCUCCAUGUUCGGAUUCUUCGUCCAGGCCAUCGUCACCGGCAAGGGCCCGCUCGAGAACCUCGCCGACCACCUCGCCGACCCCGUCAACAACAACGCCUGGGCCUACGCCACCAACUUCGUGCCCGGCAAGUGAGGAGGUGUCCGGAUGCAUGUGAGCGCGCGCGCGCACUGGUUUCGGCUUGUACCAUGAUGUAAAUUACUGUACCAGGGUUCAAUCAAGAAGGAAUAACUGUGUUCAUUAUCUCGCGCCGCGUCUAAAUUUCUAAUACGGCUCAUUCUUUUCCUUUUUCAUUCAUCACUGUCGGUUUUAUUUGCGUGAAAAAUCAGGUGUUUGAUUAGAAGAGGGUCGCUGAAUUUACAAAUCAGACUUCAGACAUUUGCUUACCUGACUGAUGGACGCCGUGGGGUAGCACCCUAGCAGUCUAGCACCCAUGCUUCUAGUGAUCAUUACAGUGAGAAGAGUAAAAAGAUCCUGUUUUAGCUGCAUGCUGCAUUGUUGAUCCGUUGUGGGGAUUUUUUUUCGAUUAGUGUAGUCCAGCCAUUGAGCAACCGGUAUUCGACAUUGUCAGAAAACGGAGCUCUGACAGGAUACAAUUUAGUCCCAGUUGUUUUGUUUCUCGUCAGUAUGAUGUUUAGCUCUGCUAUUUAUCUGCACUUUGUAUAUACACGUACAAGAAUCUAUCUGUAAAUUCAUAAAUUUACCAGUAGACAACCUUUUAGACGGUAUAGUAGUAUGGUUUAAGCAAGUUGAACACCACUCUUUUUUACGGUGAAACUGUACUAAGAUAUCGCGUAAGUAACGCAUAUGCGGUGUUUGCGCGCCAAUCGGGCAAUGCGUCUUUCUGCCGUUGUCUUCGUUCACCAAAACGCUGAGGCGUUGUUUAGUUCACCCUGAAAACCAAAAAGUUUUCAAGAUUUUCCGUCACAUCGAAUCUUGUGUCACAUACAUGAAACAUUAAAUAUAGACGAAAACAAAAACUAAUUGCAGUUUAGCUGUAAAUCACGAGACGAAUCUUUUGAUCGUAGUUAGUCCAUGAUUGGAUAAUAUUUAUCACAAACAAACGAAAGCGCUACAGUACCGAAAACUUUUCACUUUUCGGAACUAAACAAGGCCUGAGUUCUUCUGCAAAUUUGAAAUGAGACACAAUCACACAGUGACACGGGCACGUACGAGAGACUCAUUGCAGUGCAAGAGGAAAAACUGUGAGGUUUUCACUUUUUUAAGGUUUUGCGCUCUAGAUUGCAGACUGGCCAACCGAUUACAGAGACGAUGAGUUCCCACGGCCCAACUACCUAAGUGGACUGGACCGAUGAAUGGGCGUGGCUCCUGCUUAGCCCACGAUACAAGUGAGAGCUUAACGAGUGGGAUGCUGUUUGGAUCAAGAGAUUGAAGGAGAGUUCGCCUCGUUGUAGGGACUUUUUGUUUGAGUUUCAACAAGAAAGCUGCAAAAUUAGCUUAUCAUACAAUAGAAGUCACGAAAAGAGUGCUUUUGGUAAGCCAAAUUAAAACCGUUUGGGUUUUUUCAAAUAUAAACAUGUGACUUUUAGCAUGCUUUCUAAAAAAUAUCUUUUUUCGCCAAAAAAACCUAUAAGACUAAUGGCUAGCUAGUGAGAGGGCUCGGUGCUUGGCCAAGCCAUGAGUCUCUGUACGUUGUUUGACGUACUCGGAGCAUAGGCCUACUAACAAUGCUAAACUCAUCUCGAACCCGCACCACCAUGCCAUAUGUGACAUUUCCCUAAGGCAGCCCCUACCUAAAAAUUCAACUAGUGACCAUAAAAAAUUCAACUAGUCAACACACUUUAAUCCCGUGCCUAUUACCACUGGUAAAACAACUACAACUUGCCACUGAAAUAUCAAAGAAGUCCACAAUGUUUGUCUAUACCAUGCCAACUUCGCAGGCCUAAAUUACCGAUGAUUGAUUAAGCAAAGAAGCAAUUUCCUCGAGCACAAAUGGCAAUUACAAACUCAAAUCACAGAGAAAAAGUAUUGACACUUAGGCUUUUAGACGAUGGUGAAAGUAAUGGCGAGAAAUCUAGAGGUUGUGGAACGACAAGACGGCUAGUACUAGUAGACGGGGAGGACCCACAGGAGGAUGGGGUGGGAGAAGAAGACACAGAACCAUGGUCGCACUCCCACCCAUCACACAAUAUUAGCUCUCCGGUUGCCUCCCUGAACCCCCACGCCUCACACUCAUGUUGUUUUAGUUGGCCACCCCCGCCUCCAAAAUGAGCCCUUGUGGCGCCCGACAACGAAACUGGCUAGUGAUGCCUAUCUAUGCAACAAGAUCCAAGAUGUCGCAGAUGAAGAGACUUGUGGAGUGCAGAUAGACACUUUGGUAAGUGGAAACAUCCAAAAAACCGAACCAUACUACGAGUGAAGCCGUGAAAGAGGUAUCACCAAUGAUGAUGACGACAGUUGUUUUAAAUUAACUUUCAUGUCUAUAUUUCUUCUGAUUUUACAAGGGAAAAUAAAUCUCACGCGACUCCUUUAACCCUAAAAUGACCCCUAGCAGUCCUCGGUGGGUAGCAUCAGUCACGUGAUGCUUAUAUGGCAUUGAUGGAGCCGAUGGCCGCAUGCUAUACGAGGGUGGCCUGUGGACAGAGACAUGAAAAAAAAUAAAAUCGAUUAAUAUCUCUAAAUCCCAUUUAUCUUUGCCAAAAAGGGUGAUAUUAUGUGCUGACAUAAUGCCACUAAGAAAUGGCAUAAUUGUCAGGCCAGUCUCAGUGUAGAGUUUCAUAGCGUUGUUUCAAAGUUACCAUGUCAUGUGAAAUGAAAUGAAACUUGGAUGAAACACCCAUUCUCAAUAGAGAGUUCCAUUCCAUGGUUUCAUAGACAUUUAAUUUCAAGACUCAUAGAGAGUUGGUAAUCGUGUCAAGAGAGUUUUAUCUAGACGAAACCUAUUUAUUCUCUCUCUUAUUAAAUACACUGUCAUGACAUCCAAAAUACCUAUAUGACAGUCUAGAUGAAAUUCGUAAUGAGACUGGCCUUACGCACCAUCCUCAAAAAGUAUGUAAUAAUAAGACUACCAACUGUCAUCGAACCUUACACACCAUCCUCAAAAAGUAUGUAAUAAUAAGACUACCAAUUGUCAUCGAACGUUAGGGUGUCUUCUUGCCACAAUGGCUCCGAUCUUUGCAUUUUUAUUCAUUUUUCUUCCUACAUGUAAUACAAGUGUGUGAUCCUCAAUAAUUAAUGAGAACAAUCUGCGUCUUGGAGUUGACGCGGACUGUUGAGAUCAUGUGAGGGUGAACAUGCCAAAAAACAAUUCAGUUUGUCAUUGUUGCUCAGACCGGCCAUGUUAGGGUAAGAUACAGAAUUAUUUGCUUUUGUUAACAGUUGGCAUUCACCAUUUCUUCUUGCAGUGUCUUGGAGUUGAUGUGGGCUGUUGAGACUAAAAAUUGCUCGAUUUGCUUUGGACAGCAGAUGAGUAAAAUAGCUUUGUCAUGUACUCAUGUUGAGCGAGUUUCUGGACAGUAGGGGAGUCAUGGAGUUGGUUGAGUUGCAUCUAGUACCUUUUUUUUUUUGCGACGUGCAGUGCAAAAACUUCUAAACGACCCUGUUAAUGUGAAUUCCAGUAAGUGAUCUUUACAAAAUGUUGGUCUUUAGCUCUUGUCGUGUAGUAGAUGCUAUUGUGUGAAUAGAAACACAACGAUAUAUUAAAAGAAUAUUCAUAAUUGAUGAUUGCUACAUGCAAGUAUUAAACCACCUGUAGAUAGCCAAAAAGACAGCUCAUGUCUAUGGGUUGUAUGAAUUAUCUAUAUUUAUGGAUUCUAAGAACUUAAAACAUGUCCGUAUAGUAUCAUAUGGACAGUACACUACUACUCGAAUGGGGGGCAAUAACAGGUUGCAAAGCUUGUCCUCAGACAUUAAUGUCGUCUUGCACCAAUGACCUCAUACUGGGCAUACUCAUAUACGCCUACCUAAAUAACAGGACGAGUGAUGACAAACAUCGUUCUCCCUUAGAGAUGUGAACUACCCAAAAAAUAUACUAGCACAAAGCAAAAAUAACAAAUAUUGUAUAAUAAAAAUAAGACAUUAUGUCAAUCGAGCGUAGGUUGGUUAAAUUUAUUGCGGUGGAACCAAACCAUUUGAGUUUGGGUCCUCGUUUAAAAUCAUGUUGUGACUUCGUGGCAAGUGACACGUCCGUCAAUGGGAGACAACUAUAGUGAUUUCAAGAAUAUCACAAGAUCUACUAGCCCAAGCUCUUCCGACAAUCCUGUUAGGAGGUAAGGUUUGCAACUUCAUGGCAGGUGACGUGCUCGUUAACAGUGAAACACCUACGAUGACUUUGUGAAUCUCAAGAUUUGACAGCUUAGGUUUAGUCUUUCCGAUAUCCUCAUAUGAGUAGGGUUUGCGGCUUGUGGUAGGUGACAUGGUCAUCAACAGUGGGACACCUAUAUUGACUUUGUGAAUCUCAAUAUCUGUUAGCUCAUAUUAGUCUUUUGGAGUCGUCAUAGGGGUAGAUUUGCAUCUUUGUGGUAGGCGCCUUGCUCGUCAGUAGUGAGGCAACUAUGUGUAGUUGUUGACUGUGAAUCUCGAUAUCUGUCAGCUUGUAUCGGUCCUUUAGAGGUUCUCGUAGAGAUAGGAUUUGCAACUUCAUAGUAGGCAACAUGCUUGUCGUCGAUAGCGAGGCAUCUAUGUGUAAUUCUGCGAAUCUCGAGAUUUGUCAACUUAGGUGUUUAGUCUUUCGAAGAUCCUCAUAGUCAUAGGAGUAGGGUUUGCUACAUUAUGAUAGGUAACAUGUUUGUCCACACUCGACACUGGGAUAUUUGUGGUACUUUUUAUGAAUCUCAAGAUCUGUUAAUUUAAUUAGGUUUAGUCGUUUGAAGAUCUUGUAGAAGUAGGAUUUUACAUUUUCGUAGUAGGUGACGUGCCUAGUGAAAAUAAGAGGGUGUUUGGUCGGGGUUGUUUAAGUUUAAUAUGUGUAACAUUUCGUUUCAUUUGUCAAUUAAUAUCUAAUCAUGGACUAAUUAGACUCAAAAGAUUUGUCUCACAAAUUAAUCUCUAAAUAUGUUUUUAGUUUCAUAAAUAAUCUAUAUUAAUACUCCAUGUGACGGACGGUAAACUUUACCACGGCGACCCAAACAAGCCCUAAGUGUUGCUUCACGGAUCUUGAGAUGUGUCUGCUCAAGUUUAUUUUCUUAGAGUCUUUGUAAAGGUAUGCGGUUUAUUAUUUGUAUAUUUAUUAUAGGGUGAUAGGUUGUUUGCUUUAUUACUGUAUAUAAAAUGUGGAAAAAACGGUAAUCAGGACAGGACUUCAGGAGUAGUCGCAAAUAAUACAUGUGACACAGGGUAAUUGCCGCGUACGCCGUACCAUACAUGGGGCUGGGAAAGAGUUAUGGUCCCGUGUUAAUCCCUUCUCCGUAAUCCUUUCCGUCUAGCUAUAUAAACUCGGCCGCAGCGAGGGAGGGGGAGGAGGAAGGGUUUUGGAAUUAGGCAGCGGCCGCCGUUGCGUGGGAGAGAGCAAAGUGAACCAGGCCGAAACCGAAGCUACCGCCACCACCACCACACCCGCCCACCGCAGCAACGCCGGGCCCUUCUCGUCUCCCUGUCCCCUAGUCCCAGGAGGGGAUCCCGGCGGCGAGGAUGAGCGGCGGCGGAGCCGGAGGGAAGGGGGCGGCGGCGCCCGUCCCGCCCGGGUCGAGGAAGCUGGUGCAGAGCCUCAAGGAGAUCGUGAACCGCCCCGAGGCGGAGAUCUAUGCCGCACUGCGCGAGUGCGGCAUGGACCCCGACGAGGCGGUCAGCCGGCUCCUCUCCCAAGGUCCGGGCACGGCUUGCGCUGUCCUCUCCCCACUCCCCACUCCCACGAUUCCGUGCCUGUUUAGCUGUUCGUUGUUGGGCCCACUGCUAGGGUUUACACGGUUCGUAGGCCAGCGGGCUCUCGUCGAUCUGGGCGAUUCGUUGACAUGAAGGUCGUAGUCUGAGCGCGCUGCCCGAUUAGUGGGAAUCGGAUGCACCUGUAUUGUUUCCUUUCCCCUUUGGGGCCCUCGAGUUCAUACUCGGUUUAGUUAUCUUUAAGGCAGUAUAUCAGAUAAUAGUAUUAGAUGUUGGAGUCUAUAGUAGUAUUAGAUGUAGGAGCUGUGAGUGCUGUCACAGUGUCCACUAUUCAUUUAGGGUUUCUAUUUUAGAUUUCUUGCAAAUGCUAUUAGUGGUAAGGACUAGUGACUAAGGAGUUACCUAUUUUGGAAUAUCACACAACCACGCAGGAUUAUCUUUUCUCUCAAUCCGGUGGUUGGUUCAUCCACUUGUUUUGUUGUGGUGCCAGCUAAUCAUUUCAAGAACGCACAGACAUUUUUGUCGUUGUCGCUUGUGGGAGGAUUUACUUUUAUCUAAUGGAUGCGACACAAUAGCGUGGAUAAUGUCUGAACGCUGGAAGCUUGGGAGAAAGUAAGACAAGCCUGUUGCAUUAGACUGGACAUCUUAGUGUUUCAAUGCAGGAGGCAAACUGAAAUUGGUUAAGUGGAUAUAUUUGUGUUUGUACUGGUUACAGGAGUAGGACUUACGAACCAGAUUUGGAGCGGAUGGCUGUGGUAGGCUUAGAUAGUUUGUUGGGAAAGAAAAUCUGUGGUACUUUUAGCUACCAGGUUUGGAAAGAGGGGAGCCUUUAGACUGGGAUAUGAUGUUUGAACUCUUGCCCUUUUAGUCAUGCAUUUUGGAGGAAGGUGCUUAUGUAUUGGAUUUUCCCAUGAUAGGAUUUAUCAAAGUUUAGCUAGGCGCUAGGCGGCUUCUAGGCGCCGACCCUCUGCCUAGCGCCUAGGUGGGAGUUAUCGCGCCUAGGCGUUCCUACGCAUUUUCCUAGGCGUUUUGGCAAUUUUGCCAUAACUUAUAUAUUCAGGCAUUCAGAGCUCACAUUCAGGCAUUCAGAGCAAAUGCAAAUGCAAAAACAUACACCAUUCAGAAAUAACAUUCACCAUUCAGACAUUCAGAGUAAUAUCAGGCAUUCACAGGGAUUCAGAGUUCAGAUCCAGUGGCAAUCACAGAGUUCAGAUCAGGCAUUCCUAUUCAUCAUCCAUGUAUUCAACUUGAAAACAGAGGGUAGGAGCAGGGGAGGGGAGCAGCGAGCAGGGGAGCAGGACGGGGAGGAGCAGGGCCUGCGUAUCCACCUGCAAUCCCUGUGAAUGCCUACGAGAUGCGCGAGGGAGGGGUGAAGAACAGGGGAGGGGAGAGGAGCAGGGGAGCACAGCUGCCGGCGGGGGAGGGGACGGACCUUGGGGCGGGGAGGGGUGCGCUGGUGGGGAUGACCUUCCAGGCAAGACUGCAGGAGGGGUGCGCCGGGGGGGAUGAAUUUCCAGGUGAGGAGACGGCGACGAGCACGACUGGCGCCCACGGGACCUCCGUGGAGGAGCAAGACCGGCGGGAGGAAGCGCGUCGGGCGGGCAGAGAUGUGCUCGGAGGGAAGAAGCGAAUGGCAGGCAGGAACUGCGUCGUUUCCUUUAUACUUCCCUCCUGUUUUCGCACAGCCGAGGCCAUCUGUGCGCGCGCGCCCGCCUGCGACGUCUGCCUCUGCGCGAGAAACCUUCACGCCCUGGCCCGCUGCGUAAUUUUUCUGCGGGCUUGCGCACGCGUCCGCCUCCGCGCCGCCUAAGGCCCCCUAGCGCCCAGAUCGGCGACUACCCCUGUAGUUGAGGCGACGGGCUUCGCCCACUGACCAGUCGCACCUAGUCGAGCGCCUAGCGGAACUAUGGGAUCUAUUGAACAUGUACAUCAGAUCACUUGGUUGUCUUGUCUUCUUCUUCAGCUUUUGCUGGUUCUGCUUAUUAUGGUAUUUUUCUUUUGGUAUUGCAAUUCCUGGCUAUAACUUCGAACAUGCCACAACUUUCUUAAGGUUUUUGUCUUGCCCACACAUUUGCUGUAGGAUGAGUUCGAUCUUGAAUCAUUUGUUCUCUACAUUUUAGUAUCAGUACUGUAGCUUAACUUCUCACUACUCUAGACCUAUGUACAUUACAUAUGCUUGUCAUGGAAUGAAAUCUAUCUAUUUACCAGAUGUGCUCAAGAAUGUUAGCUUUGGAUUUAUGGAUAUGUUCUGGUCGCUGGCAAUUGAAAUAGUUGUCUAGAUAUCAUCUGAUCUUGCAUCAUGUACAUGUUGUAAUGUCAACGGGCCGAGCACAUCUAUAAAUGUUGAUAAGUCAUCACUGCCUAUACUCUUUUCAGAUACUUUCCAAGAGGUAAAGAGCAAGCGCGACAAGAAGAAAGAGGUCAGAACUGUUUUUUUUAAAACUUUCUAAUGUGCCCUAUCGUCUUGCAUAUACAAUCCAUUUGAUAAUAACCAUUUGCCAGCUUUUAUUUACCUUGUUCAUAAAUUGGUAACCAACCUUCUUGCACCAUGUAGUUUCAUUGGGUGAAUAAUACUGAUAAUGAAUCUGUAUGCACUGCUGAUUCUUUUUUCUACCAUGUGUUAUUCCUUGCACCAGAAGUUAGCAUAUUCAACUACAGUUUUGGUUAUUGUUUGAAAAGUUUUCUUAGUUGACCACUAGAACUGACAACUAGAGUUGUGGCAAUUAAUAAGCAGAUUAAAGAGGUUCCUGAGACAAGAUAUCGAUCGGCAAAUAGUUCUACUAAUCGAGGCCUUAGAAGUGGUGCAGAUCGAGGUGGACGGAGCAAUUCUGUGCACUCUAGCUCUACUGGUAAAUAGAACACGUGCCAUUUUUACCCUCAAGCUUAUUUUUUGGCCUAUUAUUUCUUCUGACCCAAUCUCCAUUUCAUUCCAAAAAUUAGAUAACAUGACCUCAAGGCCACCAGUCUCAGGGUCUGGAACGGCAUCAGUUAAUUCCAGUCAGAGGCAAACAAUGGCAAGGUAAAGGGACAAAAGGACCCUUCUGUGAUCCAUUCAAAGGAUCAGUGUUUUUUGUUUAUGUAUUUUUAUUUUGUUUAUUUACUUUAAGCGAUUUAAGCUAUUUUCUGUUUUCCUUCAAAUAAUUUUGUUGUGGCUCGUCAUGUCUAUUUUUUGUGUUACUGCUGGUGCUUUUGCCUUGCUGAGUAAACAUCCAAGGAACAACAAGAAUUCUUGGUGUUAAUUUCUUAGGUUUACUAUGGUUCUCUAGGUAGUUAAUUUAAUUUAGUUUGACAUUCUAGUUUUUUUGCAAAAAAAAGAUCAUUUGCAAUAUUGUGGGUGUUAGAAUCAACAGAAUGAUCUCCAAGUGUUUGGAUGAUGCCCAUCUCUAUAAAAUAGAGAAUUAUUCUCAACUGUCAAUAUUUUCAGAUCAUUUGGUUUUUAUUAUUACAUUUGGCUGAUUGCUGAUGUUAAUAUCCUCUCUUGUAUUCUGCAGUUCCUCUGCAAACAAACAUAUGGUUACUGAUGGACCAGCUGUAUCAUUGCAAUCAUCGUCUGGGUUUCAGCAUGGUGGUUGGUCUGGGACGCCUGGUCAGUUGUCGAUGGCUGACAUUGUGAAAAUGGGUCGGCCUCAGGGCAAGGCUUCCAGCAAACCUGUGGUCACAGCUGACAGAGGUUAUGCUGGACAGUACCCAUCUUUGCCAAGCACAAACCAGAACCUGAAACAAUCUGUAAGCAUGGUUCCCCCAACAGAGCUUGACAAGGGGUUACAACCUGCCCAAGAUUCGGUUCAGGUUAUGAAUCACGGUCAUUCUGCUGCUGACAGCAAGCUCCCAUAUGGUACUGAUUGGUCUCCACAAGACGACCCAACAUCUGCGAACCAAUCAUCCCUUCCUGAGACAUCUGGUGAUCCGUCCUUGUAUGAAGCAUCAUUUCAGUCAUCUACAUUGGUUACUGAUGUAGUUAAUUCACAUGAAAAUUUGCACUUGGAUGAAGACAGCACCUUUGCAAUGAGACCAGUACCUGCCUCUGAGAUACACUUGGAACCUAGUGAUGGUAUUUCUGAAUACAAUGAUGGAAUGUUGAACAACUCAAGUUCCUAUCAGCCUCAAAAUUACUCUUACACAGAACAAGAAGGUAAGUGUAGAACUACUGGGAAUCUGCUAGCUGGUUGGUUAACCAUUUUAGAGGCUGAUGAUUUUUUCUAUAAACAUCCAUUUAUUUAAUUUUCCAUAUAUUAGCUAUGGAGUAAGCACCAAAGUAACAUUUAGGUAGUUGCCAGUCUUAGUCAGAAUCAUGGAAGACGUGGUAAAUUGUAAUUAAUUGCUUGAGUCUAGUUGGGUGAUGUAAACUAUUUUUUUACCAUUUAUUAUGUAGUUCUGCCUGUAUAUUUCACUCUGUGCAGACUGUAUUUGUGUCAUAGAUGUAAACAUAAUCAGGAAGGUACUGGGACAAAUAUAAGCACCUAAAAAAGUAUUGCUUUAUCCAAAGUAUUGGAUCAAAUGCAGCUAGUAUUUGUUAAGUAAUAGAUACUGUAGUUAAAACAGAUUUAAAGAACAAAUAUAGAUAUUAUAUUGUUUUGUCUUCGACUAUGAACUGUCAUAUUAUUCUUUGCUUUCCAUAAGAAAGGGAGAGUUAUUUUGCUUCUAGUGUUGUUGGGCUUGUCAAAUUAUUCAUCCGAUUUGCUAUCGUAUGAAUUGCUUCACUUUGGAUAUUUAUGAAUCAUGCUGCGUUCUGAUAGCUUGGUCUUGUUUUCAAAUUUUGAACAAAAUUGUUGGCAUGGUUCACAAUGAGUUCUGAUUCCUUUUGUAAUUGUGUUUAUAUAUGUUUAUCUUCAGUCGAGGAUUCCAGUGCUGAUCUAUCAGCAGCAGCAGCAGCAGCAAACUUCCAGAGUUUAAGCCUGCAUAAUGACGAGUUAGCCGCAAAAAAGACUGCCGAAGAUAACCCUGCAGUGAUAAUUCCUGAUCAUUUGCAAGUUACAAAUACAGAAUGUGUCAGUUUGAGCUUUGGCAGUUUUGGAUCUGGUGCGUUUUCUGGGCUACUCCCACAAAAGACCAUGGAUAGCAAUGUGGAAUUCCCUGCCCGAGAGGAAUCUGCACCGGUAGAUCAAAUAGACGCCAGGUGAAGCAUUUUACUGCUGUUUUUUGUGGCACUUUCAUUGCCCCUUCACGUCGGGAAUGUUGACACCGUGGAAUUGUUUGUUGCAGGAAUCAAGAUUACUAUGAAAGUGGUGCAGUAACUUCACCAGUGGACGAAAAUCUUGAGGCCAUGCUGGGAGCCAACAUAGAGAAUGUCGAUGCGCCUUCUGUUUCACAGCCUAAUGAGCUUAGGCAGGACGUACUUGAUCCUUCUGGACUUCAAUAUGACGUGCCAUCAGUUUCAAGUCAUGCUUAUUCAAACACGAACGCUUCACAGCCUAGCACAAUGGAGGAUCCACAAGGAAACAACCAAGCACAUACUUUUUCCCAUUUGUCAAACUUGAUGGUAUGCUUGACUCUUCUUUCUGUUUUUUUCCCACACAUCCUUGGUAACUGAUCUUUCGUUGCCCUCAAUAUUUGUGUCUAGUGCUAUGCUGUAACUGCAAAGGUGCAUUAAGUUCCACUGUAUCUACAUGGUCAAUCUUCAUACAUAAGGAAAAACAUCUUGAGUUACCAUGAUAUGAUAACAGAUCUAGGCGCAUUGGCCUUAUAUAGCAUUCUGUUGCAUUUUUCUAGAACAUUUAGCAUGUACUCCCCCAUCCCAAAUUAUAAGGCAUUCCAAGAAUCUUGGAGAGUCAAAGCAUUUUAAGUUUGACCAAUGCCCUUUUCGCUUGAGCUUAUCCCCGAAUUUGCCAGCCAUUCAACAAUGUUUUUCUCUCACAACAAAUCAGCGAACAAUACUUUCAGCCAUGACUUUUCUACCAAGCGAAUAGCUUCCAAAUUUAUAUGAUAAAAUAAUAACAUUUAUGAUAUUAACUAAGUAUCAUUAUGUUCUUCAUUAAUUAUAUUUUCAUAGUAUAUCUAUUUGAUGUCACAAAUCUUUAUAGUUUUUUAUAUAAUUUUGGUCAAACUUAGGAUGAUUUGACUCUCAAGAUUCUUGGGAUGUCUUAUAAUUUGUGUGGAGGGAGUAGGAAGUUCCAUAUUAUAUCAAUAAGGGAAACUGCACUUAGGUCAAUCUGGAGUUCUCAUCUUAAAUGCUCAUAUCUUGGCUAAACUUGCCCUGCUUAUGCUUUGGCCUCCUUUUGUAUUGAAAAAUCAUCAUGAUUGCAUGACCUACUAAGAAACGCUUCCAUAUGUAAACUUUUUUAUGCGUAAUAUUAAAAAAAGUAAAAUUGACACAAGCAUACAAUUUGUAUCUUUUUAGAAUUAUAAUAGAUAAUAGAUAUAUAAUAAAAGGUAUCACUACCUUUUGUAAAACUACCACAAGAAACCAUACACAAUUGACAAUACUGGUCACUUAGAAUUUAACAAGACUACAGACUUUAAGCAUUGCAUAUCCCAUUGGUGGAUGGAGUGCUUAAACGUGUGUUUUUAUGAAAAAUUAAGGAUUUUUUUUUGUGGGGGUAUUGCUUAAAUCGCAGUUUUGUGAUGCAUUUAUCCCACUAGGAGUGUAGUCCUCUGAAAUUAUUUCUUAAUAGUGUGUGUGCAUGUGCCCACAUUUAUAAGUUUGACAUUGACAAAGGCAGCAUGAAUUCGUGACAUGUACGAGAAUAUGUUCUCGGCCAUAGAAUGACUUUUAAAUGUUGAUUGACUGCAUAGUAUAGAUCUAAUGGAUGUAAUAGAAAUGAUCACCUUCUGAAUUAAGUUAAAGUCUAUGUAACUAGCUGUUUUGGGUAUCAGAUGUUUCUUGUUGGCUGUUUGGUGUUUUUAAGCUGUUUUAUUUACCCUGUUGGCUUAUUUGAUUCUGUAAAUUGGUGAGGUGAUUGGGUCACAUUAGGGAUUUGUGUUUGCAAUUUCAGAAAAAUCCAAGUAAUCUGUUGUGUGGUGUUUAUCUCUUGCUUUGUAAUUUUUUUCGAAUGUUCAUAUAAACAAAAGGGAAAGAUAAUUUGGUGAGCUAGUGUCCAGGGCUGAGGAUGGUGGAGUAUUUAUAUCUAACAAAAAGAUUUAACUGCCUUUAUUACUAGAUGAGUUAUCAAGAGAUUACUAUACAUUCUCAAAACAAAGCAAAAACAGUUAUUCAGUGGGUCAAGCUAUUUUUUGCUGACCCGUUGCUUCUGGUUUAUAGGACUAGUAGUACACAGAUUGAAUAAGAGAGUUCAAAUGAGGUGUGAACACAAUAUUUUAAGCCAUAUGAGCCAGUUUAAAAAUAUUUCAGUAUGACAGUGUGCUAGUUUAACUCUAUUUUUAAAGAAGUAAAAAAAGACCCAAGGCCUCGAUCCUCAUAUUAAAUUAACAAAUUUUGUUGUAUAUUUGUUACUUCUUAUUCUUAAAUAUAUACAGGAAUUCUUCAACAGUUAAUGUAUGGUCCAGCAGCUUUGUUCUAGUUUCCUGUGCUGUUUCAAUUCAUGUCAUGCUUCAUCUUACUGAAAAGGAUUAUGCUAAACUUCAUUUUCUUCUGCCUGUCAGUUUGUUUCUUAGUUCUCACUCUUUAUCAUUUGUUUCCCAGCAAGCAAAUCCUUUGAGCACCAGCAGCCUAUUGGGGUCAAAUCAAAAUCAUGCAGCUCUUCAUGGCUUAGAGUUUGAUUUACCGCCUUAUCUGGAAGCAAAAUAUAACACAGGCUCGACUACAAAUCCUAGACCAGCCAUAUCCAUGCAGGAGGUUAGUUAAAUAUUUGAAUUCCUUUUUUUCUCACUCACAUCCUUGACAUGCUUAUGCUAUUUUAUGUAUCAAAAGUUCCUGUGCAUAUUACUUUAGCAUCUAUAAAUUAUAAAUUAUUAUUAUACUGAAAGAAAUAGCAUCCUAGUUUAGUGAUAUACAUCAUUAGCAUAAAUAUUUAAAACUGGAAACAUAGCAAACUCAUGUUAAAUUCAUUAUGGAUUCUGAACUGUCCUGUUUAGCAUUGUCCUAUGUUUUCUGCCUUUCCUAAGUCUACAUCUCAUGAAAAUAUUUUUCAGGCCCUGAAAGCAGGGGUUUUCUCCAAUGCUCAGUCUACACAGAGUCUUCCAAGUACCAGCAUUCCAACAGGGCCUCCUCUCCCUCAGCAAUUAGCACAUCACCCUUACUCUCAGCCAACUUUACCAAUUACACAUUUUCCAAAUAUGGUUGGCUAUCCGACGUAUUUGCCACAAAACUAUGCUACUUACCUAUCUUCAGGCACCUUCCAGCAAGCAUACCCGAGUAAUGGACCAUUCCAUCAGUCUGCUGCUGCUUUGCUCGGAUCUGGUAUGAAGUACUCGACCCCAGAGUAUAAGAACAACCUGUCUGCCACAGGCUUACAACAGCAACAUCAGCCGCAACCACAACCACCUUCAUCAGUCAUCUCUGGUUAUGGAGGCUUCGGAAGCUCAGGCAACAUACAAGGAAAUUUUACCCUUAAUCAGAGUACUGGCUCUGCAUCAACUCUUGGUUUUGACGAAGCAUUGAGCAGACAGUACAAAGACACCAGUCAAUACAUGGCUCUCCAGCAGGUAAUCAUCACACGCUGGCUCAUGUAACCUGGGAAAUUUUGUGCUCUCUCCCCAAUCAGUGUCAUCCUUUUUUUGUGGAUGAAGGUUUUUACAGCAGUGGUAAUUUAUUGUUAUCUCUUUCAGGGUGACAACUCCGGAAUGUGGCUUCAUGGCUCGGGUUCUAGAGCGACCUCGACUCUUCCACCUAACCACUUUUAUGGUUACCAGGGACAGAGUCAGCUGGGUGGCUUCCGUCAGGCGCAGCAGCCACAGCCUUCCCAAUUUGGAGGCCAUGGGUAUCCAACAUUCUACCAGUCUCAGGGUGGCCUGACGCAGGAGCACCCCCAGAACCUUGCUGAGGGCAGCCUGAAUGGCUUCCAGGUCGCACCGUCUCAGCCAUCUCAUCCGAACUGGCAGCAUCAGCACACUUACUGAGCCCUGUACUUCCUUGUUAUGGUGGCUCUUUCGCCGUCACAAGCCAAGUUUCUCGUGCUUGUGCCCUCACUCGAUGCAGAGUAAGCUGCUCGGUUUAGCUGAGCUUGUACCUUGAGCGCUGAGAGGGUCCCAGGCAUACAACAGUUAGAGCGUGUUAACAUGUUGCGUGUGUUGCCAGACUGAUGCAUUGUGAUUUCUUUUCGAUAGUAUGCGGAGGUGCAGUCCUGUAUAACUGAGAUAUGAUAACCUAACAAGCAGUCGUUUCUGAUUUCCAAGAGUUGUCUACUCUUAGCUUGAGCAGAUGCUGCUCUGAUUUUGAAUGUCUGCUUGCAAUAUUAUUGUUUUGCGGUUGCAACUUGCAGCGUAUACUGCUUCAGAAUCGAGGAAGAAAAAGGGGUUACUACAUGCUCCAUUUCAUCAGUAUGGUAAUAAUAUAAUUAAUAAUUAAUAAUAUGUGGUACUUGUGAAAAGUCUGCGGGUUCAGAUAUGCAAGUCCACAUUUGUUUGGCGUUCAAAUUUGCCAUUGUCAUUGAAAACUCAGAUAAUGGUAAUAAAAACUGAGGAUCUGCAUAUCGAUCGCCAACAUGGUGAGUUUCAUCGUCACCGUGAUGUAUGUGCUUAUGCUAAUAUAGUUAUGUGCCUAUGCUAAUAUAGUUAUAGUUAUAGUAGCAACAGGUUCAGUUUGUUAUACAUGACAUCAGGGUGUUUGUCGGGUUCGAAAGUUCGAUCAGACCUCUAGGAGUUGCAUACUUCUAAUUGAAAAAUUGCAUGCGUAAAUCGUCCAAAAGAAAAGAGAGGUUCUGUAAACGAACCGUUUCUAAAUUCUAAAAGCUUGGCCCAUUUGUUCACGGUCUGGCCCGUACGUUCCUGAGCGUGUUCGGCCUGCCUUUUAUCUGUCAGGCCCGUUUCUGUGCCAGUUAAAUUCGGCCCGUGUAAGCUGCUCGCAUUGUUGUUUCCUUUUGACAACUGAGACAUGAUUUCAGGAGUACGUCGCUUCUUCUGAUUUAAUUUAAUAAAUAGUUUACCUAGACAAAAAACUCCCUAUUUGACACUAGCAUAACAGGGUCUUCCUUUUACAGCCCUAUUAAGUCACAUGUCGGUAGUGGAGUUUGGAUUGGAAUGGGUACCAGACACUUUUGGUGAUCCUGGUUCCUGGGUGCGGCAUCCGAUUUUAGGCCACACCGCGACUGGAGGCAGGACACGUUCGUCUCCUCCUCUUUCCUCGUCGUCUUUUUCGCUAAAAAAAAUAAUGGUCGUGCCCGUUCCGUGUGGCUUUGGCUGUGUCGUCCACAUCCAUGCAGGGCUGGCUCCCAAGUUUCAAGCUGCGGCACAGUGUGCUGGAUAUAUAUAUAUAUAUAUAUAUAUAUAUAUACACACACACACACACAAUCGUGUACGUACAUCCUACACCCGGACACCGCCAAGAAUCGACCUGCUGCCUCUACCUGCAAUAAUUAAUCCCUAGAUGCUCGGACUACGACGCUUGCCAAGACGCAAAGCAUCGCGUACGGUAUCGAUAAGAUAUCAAAGCAGCUCCUGCGUACCUGUGGCGUGCAGUAUGCUGUGAUCUGUGAGUUUUAACGCCUUGUUUGGACGUCGUGGUUUUGAGAAGCUUUAGUACCAAUGAAAUAGUUUUAGAACAAGAAACAUGUAAAUUAAAACCACAAUUUAGAAAAAAAAAAUCUAGAGUAGUCUCUAAAACUUCAAAAAAGAACUAUGGUUUUAACAGCACAGUUCUCUAUAAAUAUUGUUACUCGUACAUCAUCCAAAUACUACCACACGAUGUUUUCCAAAACAUCCAAAUAGCGCUUUAUUUGCAUUGGUCGAUCGGUGCCUAACUUUUCUUCGUUUUGUAAAAAAAAAACUUUUCUUCGUUUAAUUAAAACCAAACCGGCGCCGAGGACCUCCAUUAUUAUGUAGGGGUACGUGUACCGAGUAUAUGUUAUAAUUUGUAGUUCCCGUCCUGAACCGUCGCCUAUAAAAGACCAAAAUUAGAAGCAACCAACGUGAUGACGGGCCGUUUUGUUCAUUUAGUUGAUAUAAGUCAUGUAGAAAGUACUGCCGAAUGACUGGAAAAAAACUUCGACCGAUAAACUAAGCGAACAAAACGGUCUAUCUCACCUUUGACCUGCAGAACGAAGUGAUCCGUCACGUACUAUAAACUCCCUCCCUCCUCCUCGUGGUAGUUGCUCCGAUGAUCCGAUCCACAUGCAUGCAGUAGUCUAUACUUAGAGUUAGAGUACCUUUCGGUUGCCACCGAUUGUGUGGCGCAAAUAAGCGACAACAUGUGCAGUCUCCCGGUGUUACUUGCUUGCGAAUCAACUCCAAUUAGUUGGCCAGUCACAGGCUGCUUAUUACUGUGGAGUAUAGUACUACUUGAUUUUCGACCAAAAUGGAAAAAUUUGGAGAAAAAAAUCUCUCGAGAUUAGCUCGACCUGACCAAACCCACCAGUCUGUUGACUCGGGCUCAAGCCAAGAAUUUUAACCUGGUAAAUUCUUUCCGGGGCAGUUCGUGUUUGAUCAGGUAUACACACCGUUUUAAGUGUUAACACACCACGUCACGUGCCACGCUGUGCACAUAUGUUAAAUAUAGCGAUCGGUAACAAAAAUGUAACGAAGGUACGGUACUAAACAAUAUUCUGAAGAGCAUCUAAAAGUUGACUUCACUUGAUUUAUUUUCAGUCUGUGUAAACAAAGCGUCAGUGAUUUCGUUGGAGUUCUGUGCCUCUCAUGCCGCGUUGUUAAUCUACUAGUGGCGUGCGCUUAUAUAACAAAAAAUUAAUAUAUAAGGUUAGGUCUUGUUUAGAUGCACCCAAAAACCCAAAACUUUACAAAAUUUCCCGUCGAAUCGAAUCUUGCGGCAAAUACAUGAAACAUUAAAUAUAGAUAAAAAAAUAUAACUAAUUAUACAGUUUACCUGUAAAUCACGAGACGAAUCUUUUAAGCCUAGUUACUCCAUAAUUGGUCAAUAUUUAUCAAAUAAAAAUAAAAGUACUACAGUGUCAAAAUCAAAAAAAGGUUUUUGAUGUAAAGGAGGCCUUAGUCUAUUAGCGGACAGCGUGCGUCUGAUUUGUCCACCUUAUCGGCUCAACAACAACAAUCAGGAUUUUAGUAAUAAAAUAUUCUAUCUUGUUCCUCUAAGAGGAAAAAAAACUACUUUAUCGAUUUUCCUUUGUCUUUUUGGCCUUGUUCAGUUCACACCGCGACGGGCGGCGGGCCAUCAGAUGCGGGCGAGUGCGACUUGCGGCUUUCGGCGUGCACGCGAGGGGUCCGCGGAGCAGAAUCCCGCGCUCAGCAGCAACGCGUCGCUCGGCUCACACGCUAUCCUACUCCUACCCGUCCCCGCCGCCCGCUGUGGCCCCUCAUGUACGUACUGUAGACAAGAAGAGCCUGGCUCCCUCUCCAUGGCCGUGGGCCCCGGGGAACAACUAGAGCCUUGUUUAGUUCCAAAAAGUUUUGUAAAAUUUUUCAGAUUCUCUAUCACAUCGAAUCUUUAAACGUAUGUAUGGAGUAUUAAAUAUAGAUGAAAAUAAAAAUUAAUUACAUAGUUUGGUCGGAAUUGACGAGACGAAUCUUUUGAGUAUAGUUAGUACAUAAAUUGAAUAAUAUUUAUCAAAUACAAACGAAAGUACUAAUAUUCUUAUUUUGCAAAUUUUUUAGAAGUAAACAAGGCCAGGCCGAGGCCGACCGUCAGAUGAGGAGCCGGUACCCCAAGCCAUGCGUCACGUUAGCAGCAGGCAGCACGACAAGGAGAUUCCACGAAGUGUUCAUGCAAGUUAUCUACGUGUCGCCCUCACUCCUCGUCAAUUUUGUACUCCAGUGGUACUAGUACAGUCUACAACUACAAGGCGAAGGACAGGGAAUGGACCAUUUUUGGGCACAUGAGACGUGCCGUUUUUAAGCGGUGACUUGCUCGUUAAACCAGUAUCCUACGCAAUGUCAUUUUUUUUCUUCCAAACAAACAUAUUAAUACGUUUAUUACAUGCAUAUAUAAACGUGCGCACAAAUGUAAAUACACAAUGUGUAUAUCACUAUAUAAAUAUACCCAGGGGCCAAGCUAGAACGAAUUGGAUGGGGGUGCCUUUCUCUUAUAGGUGUGAAAAUUUAAUUUACAACAAUGGUGAAAAUGUGUUUUUUAGUAGUGGUUUUUCAAAUUUUUGUGGGUGCCUGAGCACCGCCAAGCUACUACGUAGCUUCGCCCCUGAUUAUAUACCACAUCUGAGAACUCGAGUCAACAGAUCUUAAGACAAAAGGUCACGACAAACGCGACUCACGGGAUCCUCGUCUAAUUUGAUGGUCUGAUUGUUUCGUGGAAAUAUAGCUCCUUCUAACUAUACUGAUUAGUUAUAAGAAAAAAAUACUACUUGCUCGCUAAAAAGUAGGAUUGAAAAAUAGGGUUAAUAAUCUUAAAUCUAAACAGAUAAAUUUUAUAAAAAAAAUAUAAAAUUGCAUCAUUUAUCUUAAGUUAAUCAAUAGUAGUAUUUUUUUAAUUUACUGAGUAGUACAAACGGAAACCAAUAUUGCAGAUUAAGAUUGCGGUGAAACACACCCAUUUGUAUUUAAAUUAUUGUUUGACACUUGCUCGUGUUUUAUUCUAAUUCAUUACGAGAUUUAACAACACUGCUCGUUAAGUGGUAGAUAAUAUGUCGUUGGGGCUUGUUUUCUUGUUGACUUUAGCACCUGUGCUGUUUUUUGUUCUUGCACGUUUUUCUUGUUUGAGCCAAGCUUUGUAAACUGGAAUCCCCAACAAAACUAUGUUGCUUUCAAUAUAAGCAGAGCUACGGUCUUUGGUCUAAAGAAAAGAUAUGCUUGUCGGUAGCGAGUUACCUACAAUAGUUAGUCAAUUCUAGGAGGCGAGGGCGAACCAGCAGUCGCGGAUUGCUCCAUUCAUAAGGGAAAUACUGUACAUGAUCUUUGUUUGUUUUUAUCUAAUUUUACUUUGAUCUUUUCUAGUAGGUCAUGUAAUAGAGAUGUCCAUAUUUUAGCAAAGCAGGUCUCUAGGAGAGUACAGGAUGGAUGGGUGGUGGCAUAUCCUGUCAUAUCAUGUGUCGCUCAUCUAGUGCUUGCCGAUUGUAACCUUGAUGUUCAUUGAUGAAUGAAAUGGAACCAUUGAGUCGAAAAAAAAACUUCAAUGACAAGAACGUAAAAUGUGACGUCUAGUUUUUUUUAAGGUACUCGGCUCAGUUUUUUAAGGUGCGGUUUGCUUGUGUUGUUAGGGGUCAACAUUUACCUACUGUGUUUGAAAAAAAUAACCUAUGGCAUGCCCUUAAAUUAAUGACAUGAUGAAUCUUCAUUACUUCAAGGCAAAGUAACCGGCAGCCAGUAGGCUCUUUUCAUGCACUCAAAUGUCAGGGGGAAAAAAGUACGAGGCUCACGCACUCCUCACAAGUCACACCACACCACACCAGAUGCGACCUGCUUCUGCUUUGCUACAUAUUCAAAAACUGAUCGGCAUUUGCCUGGGUACCUGUACCAAUUCCCACCCCGGGCACGGGACGCCCCUAUCCUCAUCCAACGGCCGAUCGCAUUCGACCACCAAAUCCGACGGCCAGCCUCCUCUAUAUACCCUCCCCACCACGCCUCCGCUUCGUAGUGCUGCGCACGUCAGUUGCUCCUCCACCUUCCCUUCCUCCUGCUCCUGCCCUCGGUUUCUGGUGAGUUCGACGAUUCUCUUCUCGUGGACUCGCCUUGACGGCGUCUCGAAUUGCCUGCGGUGUCUGAUGCGGGCUCUGUUCUAGAUCUGCUUGUUUCCGCGCGUUCCUACAUGUAAUCCGUUUUCACCCGAUUUAUUCUCGCGAUUUCCAAGUAGUUUUGUGUUUUUUUUUUCGAAAAAAAGGGGUUCAAUUCUGUUGGGAUGGUCGCGACUCCCCGGGUUUUGAGGUUUUUGUUCGUCCAGUAUCGAGUUCGUCGGCGGUUUUGAUCCUCGAUCAAUCCGAUCUUGCCAGUAUUUAUUAGACGUUGUAAACUCCGCUCGCAACCGUACCGAACUAAUCACUGCAGUAUCAGUUAGGAACAGCCCUUUCGUUCCAGUGCUUUCCCCAGUGAAGGAUUUGUUCGAUCCAACCACCCUUCAAAUCUCCUCACCCUUCAUUCAAAUCUCCUCGCGGCCUAGAGGCUAAAUCCGUUGCUUCUCGUUGGCUCCGCCUUCGAUUUCCGCAGAUCGCGACCAUGGGAACCCGCGGCAUCGCCCUGGUGCUCCUGGCAGCGGCGCUGCUCCAGGCCCUGCUCCCCGCGUCGGCGGCGGCGGAGGGCCUGGUGCGGGUCGCGCUGAAGAAGCAGCCCAUCGACCAGAACGGCCGCGUCGCCGCGCGCCUCUCCGCCGAGGAGAGGCAGCGCCUCCUCCUCCGCGGCGCCAACGCCCUGGGCUCGGGCAGCGACGACUGCGACGUCAUCGCGCUUAAGAACUACAUGAACGCGCAGUACUUUGGGGAGAUCGGCGUCGGCACGCCGGAGCAGAAGUUCACCGUCAUCUUCGACACCGGCAGCUCCAACCUCUGGGUGCCGUCCUCCAAGUGCUACUUCUCGGUGCGUCCUCGUUCAUUCCUUCCCUUGCCUGUUCCAGGCUUUUAGUUCAGGGUUUGGAUGUGUUUUGUGCUGAGACUUUGGAGCGUGUUUUUGUGCUGAACUGCUGAUGUGCUGCAGAUCGCUUGCUACUUCCACUCGCGCUACAAGUCAGGGCAGUCAAGCACUUACAAGAAGAACGGUUUGACUCUUACUUUUUUUUUUCUUGUUACUGUAUUUUUCUCAAUUCAGUUAUUGUGGACUGAGAUCUGCCUUGCUCUGUCAUAUGUUUUUCUUUCCCAAAUCCGUGUUCUCGUCCCCAUAUAACACCAUAUAUGUUGAAAAUAUACGUAUAUAAAUGUAAAAAGCUGAACUUAUAUGUCGGGGAGACGGGGAUCAUAAGUUAAAUGCCUUGUGGACAAAAAAGUUCCGAGCUAGGAGAUUAGGUCCAAUCCACCAUACCUAGAACAGACGCAUGGUCAUGAAUUGAAAUGCUAAAUUUACUCUGUUUGUGGAAACACAGAUUUUCUUUUCAGUUCUAAUAUCAUGAAUUUCCCUUUUUAUUUUUGCUCAUGUAUUGCUAAUAGCUUACAAAUCCUACUUUGUUUAUAGUAGGUCUGCUGCCUGCCCUACUUUGUUGUUCUAGAAUAUUUACGAUGAAACAGAAAAUUUAUAACAACAUCAAAACAAAAUCUGUGUUAGCUUGGUAUAAUUGCAACAUCUAUGAAAAGGAUGUUAAAAGCACCUGAUGUAGAUGUAGUGCAAAUUUGUGUGGAUAGCAAUGUGGAACACGAUUCAGGAAUGAUGAUGACAGUUUACAGUAUCUGUCUUUUUUGAGCUUGACUCCUCGAAUUCAAUGGAAACCUAGAAGUUGGUAUAGUAAUAACUUCAGCGUGUGACACUAGCAGACCUUAUGCUGGAAAUAGUCGCCUUAUUUUUCUUGUGCUAUGGAUAUUGAAAGGUUUGUCUCUUCUUGGAAUGUAUAUGGCCUUGUUUUAUCAUACUGCUCAUUUUUUUUAAAAAAAAAAAUCCUUUCAGUCCCAAGAAAAUUGAGGAAUUCUGGAGAUGAAACCCAACAUGAGCCACUGAGAAUGUAAAAUUAAAAAGAAGAUAAAAAGCUCUUCAUAUUGGGCAUUUAUGUAUGCUAUUUGUUUGCUUCUGGACAUUGACAUGUUGUCUUGCCUCAUCUCUCCAGGAAAACCUGCUGCCAUUCAAUAUGGAACUGGUUCAAUUGCUGGUUUUUUCAGUGAGGAUAGUGUUACAUUAGGUGAUCUGGUUGUGAAGGAUCAGGUUAGUGGGCACUUGUAUAUGUUUAUUUGUAUGAAACAGUGCUCUGAUGUAUAUAUGUUAUAAUAUUUGUUCGGAAUUCAUCUCAGGUCACAUCAGUUCCACUUGGAAAUAAUAAAUAUUGUGUUGCUUUAUUAGGAAUUUAUUGAAGCUACAAAGGAGCCAGGCCUUACCUUCAUGGUUGCAAAAUUUGAUGGCAUUCUUGGGCUAGGCUUUCAGGAAAUAUCUGUUGGGAAUGCGACACCAGUAUGGUAAGCUUUUGUGGCCUUCAAAGUUCAGAUCAUUUGCUCAGUUCUGUUUCAAUUACAGUAAAAGCAAUGAUUGUUCCUUUGUCCAUCUAGCUUUAGCUGUUGUUGAUAUUCUUUGAGUAACUCAAGGUCAUUUUUUUUCUCGAACACUGUAAUUCAAAGGUCGUCGUUGUUUAGUUACACAUGGAUAUAUUUCAUGGUUAUCCUUGUGUAAAACAAAUGGUCAUCUUUCUGCAUUAAGAGUUCUUGUUCUUUCUUGCUCUUUCUUGUUCUUUCUGGGGUAUCUUAUGUGUUCCCAUGCUAUGUAGUUAGAUUUUGCUGUAUCUAGCAAGAAUAGUAAGAUAUGUGAUUACGGUAUUGUACAACUUUGUUACAUAUUGGUUUAUAGUUUGGGAAAUAUGAUUAUGAUAUACUUUGCACAUCUGGUCCCUAAUAACAAACAAAUUGCAGGUAUAACAUGGUAAAACAAGGUCUCAUCAGCGACCCUGUUUUCUCCUUCUGGUUUAACCGACAUGCUGAUGACGGAGAAGGUGGUGAAAUUGUGUUUGGUGGAAUGGAUUCUAGCCACUACAAGGGUGAUCACACGUAUGUCCCAGUCACUCAGAAGGGAUACUGGCAGGUUGGUUUUGUUUCUUGUAUUCUCUAAUAACUUCGUUUUUCGAAGGUAUAACUCAGUUUAAAGUGUACAAUUUGUUGGUGCAGUUUAACAUGGGUGAUGUCCUGGUUGAUGGAGUGUCCACUGGUACUGCAAUGUUCCUCUCUUUGUUAUUCUAAUCUCAUGUUAAUGAGAAAUAUAACUAAAUGUGACAUCUAUCAUUAUCAGGGUUUUGUGCUGGCGGUUGUGCAGCAAUUGCAGAUUCUGGAACUUCCUUGCUUGCUGGGCCCACAGUAAGUUUUGAGCUUUGUGUAUUUUUUUAUCUGCAAUAACCUUGAUGGGUUCACCAUUUUGCGAUUGAAGCAGCUGUUUAGUUUUUUUUGUCUGUUUGGUGAUAUAUUAUAUAUAACAAAACCUUUGUACAAAUGACAUGGUGAUCCUUGUUGAAUGAAAAAUGUAGUUGAUGCUAUCAUGUCUGCCUAAAAAUGUCCGCCUUGCUACUUAAAUUACUGUUCCAUCAUACCAUGCCCUUGUGGAGUCUUGACAAAUCGAUAGUCUCAGGUGCUUAAUGUUUCGAUAGCUAAAACAUUUGAAAAUUAGACUCAGAUGUACCGGGUUGGCUCCUGGACACUUUGCCUUUGUUUUUUUGUCUGUUUUUUUUUUAAUAAGACUUGUCUUUUUGUACGUAUCAUCUUUUAUGGAUAUCAUUUGGUGAGGAUGAUUUCACAUUUCAGCAAUACCAAAAUUCUAUGUAAUUUUGCAGCUUAAUUGUGAGAAAACAGCACUUGCAUUUAAUGCACUUAACUUUUGAUAUUUGCCUAGGUGGUGAUCUGAAUCUACGAUCAUCACUCUUCUUUUUCUGCAUUUUGUGUUCAAUCCUGUGGUGCUCACAUAAAAUGUCUGGUGGUGAUCUAAGUCUGAUUAUCAUUCCCUGCUUUUCUGCAUUUUGUGUUCCACCCUGUGUUGCACUGGUGCUUACAAGCUAAUAUUUUCAAUACAGGCCAUAAUUACUGAAAUCAAUGAAAAGAUUGGUGCUGCUGGUGUAGUCAGCCAGGAGUGCAAGACUGUUGUUUCUCAAUAUGGACAACAGAUCCUAGAUCUUUUACUAGCUGAGGUUUGUGUAUUCCAAACUAUGGAUUUGCUUUUCUGGUUGCUGGUUUGGUCGGUUGCUUUUGAAACUCUGAGGUAACUCAAACUUGCUACUGGGUUAUUUUACAGACACAACCAGCGAAGGUCUGUUCUCAGGUUGGUCUGUGCACUUUUGAUGGCACUCAUGGUGUUAGGUGAGGACUGUAAACAAUCUCUAUAGUUACAUACUGUUUGAUGUUGCUGAGACAUAGCUUGUCAUGUACUCAUGAUAACGAUAACGUCUGGGCAUCUUGUCUCAUAUUAUGGAGUUACUGUAGCUCACUUCUUCCUUUGUUAUAUGCUAUGCAAAUGCAGCGCUGGAAUUCGGAGCGUAGUGGAUGAUGAAGCUGGGAAAUCAAAUGGUGGUCUCAAGAGUGACCCAAUGUGCAGUGCCUGUGAGAUGGCUGUGGUAUGGAUGCAGAACCAACUUGCCCAGAACAAGACACAGGAGCUCAUCCUGAACUACAUUAAUCAGGUGAGCUUAACUGACUUCGAGCGCAGAGUGUUAAUGUACCACGUAGUACUCUACUUUGCUUAACUGUUUCACUAUGACAGCUUUGUGAGCGUCUUCCUAGUCCCAUGGGAGAAUCAGCCGUGGACUGUGCCAGUCUUGGGUCCAUGCCUGACAUUGCGUUCACCAUCGGAGGCAAGAAGUUCAAGCUGAAACCAGAGCAGGUGUGUGAUCCCUUCUCCAUUAUCACACUCUCGGCUCUUGAUCCUUAUUAGCCCAACCAUCUGCAUUUGCCAUCUUGUUGCAGUAUCUGAACUUGACUCCCUUUCUCUUUGGUUAUGCAGUACAUUCUGAAGGUUGGUGAAGGACAAGCUGCCCAGUGCAUCAGUGGAUUCACAGCCAUGGAUAUCCCACCGCCUCGUGGCCCCCUCUGGUAAAUUAGGCACUGCUAAGCUCCUGAUUCUGGCUUGCAUGAUUUUAGUCUUCGCACAUAACGUUUGGACUAUCUGCAAUUCCAGGAUCUUGGGUGAUGUUUUCAUGGGAGUCUACCACACCGUCUUCGACUACGGCAAGCUGAGGGUUGGCUUCGCAGAGUCGGCCUAAGGAUAUGGUUUGGCGCCUCGUCCAGAGGCGAACGCAUGCGCCGAGAGAGAAGCUUAGCUUGUUUUUAACUUGUGUCUUUAUGCGGCCGGCGAUGUGUGUAUAUAUGCUACUACAUGUUUAGUGAUGCUUUCAGAGACCAGAGACAACGCCCAUCUGUUUUAACCUGGCGCAAGAAUAUUUCUGGAUGUAUUGGUCAUCACGCUUCGGCCUCUUGUACUGAAUUGUUGCCGUGCACCCUAGCAACGUGUACUGAAGAAGUAUUUUCACUGUGUUAUGCGUGCGAUAUGUGCACUGAACCUGGUAUGCUUUUGUGGCAGCGGUUAAUCUGCGAUAUCGACGCUUUGGCUGUUGUAUGUUACGUGGAUGAAACAUAUUUCCGAAAUUACAGGCUUACACUCUGUAAUCUGUAUGCACAGUGGAGUCAUAUAGCGUCAGCAUCAGAAUGAUGACUGGUUUUUGCAACUUCUUUGGUUUUGAUAACCGAUUUUGCAACUUUUUUGGUGUUAUUAUGUGUAGAAAGUGGGGUUUUCUUGGAAACGAAGGUAUACUUUCCCAACGGGGAGAGGCAGAACUCUCAGCAGUCAAACAAUUUCAGUUAUUUUCACAUAUUUUUUCUUGAAAUGCGCCGGCCUUGGGCAAUGGGAAGCAUAUUUUUUCUUAAAAAAGAAAGCGUAAAAACAACUUUGCAUCAUUACGAGCGCAAUGGGAAGCACGGCAUGAGGUGGGAACCAGGGCAUGCGGUCCGGCGACGGGCUUCUCACUGAUCUAGGGAUCUCAUGCCACAUCGUACACGAGAUGGGUGUUUAAUUUGGUUUUGGUUUUGAGGACUCACUUUCACUCAACUUCCAUUAUAGACGAGGUGUUGUAUCGAGUCCAUUUCUUAAUUUUAGUUGAAUGACUAUUUUUCAUACUACUUCUGAUUAUUGGCUUUUGAGGAAUGGUGUUACGAUGCAUCAACUCAACUAAUCACGAGUACAUUGUCAAAAAAAAACUAAUCAUGAGUAGAUGAUGGACUAGACCAUUCCUCAAACCAAACACCCCUAAGCCACUCAUCCUCUUUCACUCUUUUGUUGUUACGCGCAAUAAUGUCGUUUAUGACCGCAAAAACGAUGCUCUAGAUUAAGUCAAUCUCAAGCCAAUACUUCCUCCUCAAAAUAACACGCUCAAUAAUGUCCUCUAUGGAGUACAAUAGUCGUGUUAGCCACCACCCAAAAACGAUGUUCGAGCUUAAGUCAAUCUCAAGCCAAUACUUCUCAAAAUAGCAUGGUACUCUCUUAUUAAAAAUGAAGUUGAGACAUGAUUUCACAUGGUUUUUUUAUGCAUAUCUUUUGUUCACUAAUGUCUUUUCUAUAUUCUAUUGUUGCAUUGUUUGAAUUCACGGGAUUUUGUAAUUAUUUUACUAUACAACUGUACGUAUAUAUCUUCCAAGUUCUCAAAGUAAAUAAUUUACAAGUUAUUGAUAUUUAUAGUAUUUAAAGUUUGAUCAAAUCUUGUCCUAGACGACAUGUUAUUAUGACCGAAUUACUGAAGUGAUGCAACGAUGGCUAAUCACACACUCUCUCUCUAUCGUUUUUGUUAUGAUGACAUUUUUUCUAGCUUAUCAUACGUAAUCAUGUUUGGACAAUGAAUCAAGUAGAGGUCUGUGGUUGGAAAAAUACACUUCUUCUUUGACGACUUGGGGAUGGCACAUCACAUCCUUAUGGAAUGUCAUUAUUCGAGGCACAUCUGUAGUUGCAUGCCAUCUGGUUAGCCAUGCCUUAACUUGAGCCACAGAUACCCCUCUUUUGCCUCCGUCAAGAGUUGGUGGAUGACGGUUGGAUCUUUGCCCAGGGUCCCAUGGAAGAGUCUCAGCUCCCUCUUGCUUCUAAUAAAUGGGACUAUAUGGAAGAUUUGGGAAGAGAGAACUUUAUGCACAUUUUAGCAAAAAAUUAGUCUUUGGCAUUAGGCCUUGUUUACUUUCACCCAAAAACCCAAAAAAUUUUAAGAUUCUCCGUCACAUCAAAUUUUUAGACGCAUGCAUUGAGUAUUAAAUGUAGAUGAAAAUAAAAACUAAUUGCACAGUUUGGUCGAAAUUGAUGAGACAAAUCUUUUGAACCUAGUUAGUCCAUGUUUGGACAAUAAUUACCACAAACAAACGAAAGUGCUACAAUAUCGCAAAUUUUUUUCCUUCACGAACUAAACAAGGCCUUAGACCUCGUCCAAAAGAUCAGCGGGGACUUAGGUUUAGCUGGUGCAAAGUUUUUGACCGUCUUGAUUAUGAGACCUUAGUUUCCUUUUAUCCAUAUAGUUUGUUAUCUUGUAUCUCUGCAGACCUUAGAUUUCGGGCACUGAGAUGAGAUUUUGUUUUUUUAUAUAUAUAAAAAAAGAAAAGUCAAAACCGAUGAUGGUCCGUGUGACUGGUGGUGCCGCUGCGCACUUGCUCAGUCAAUAGUACCUGAAACUACAUGGUCCCGAUCCCCGAAAGAAAGGGCAGCGCGCGACGACGCACGGUCGCACGCGCUGGUCGCUAGUCCAUGCAGCCCCGGAGCCAGUAAAUGGCCAGUCACCCAGCUAACCUGACCAUUUCCUCGGAUCCGCAGCUGACCUCACCACCGCCCGUCCCCGUCCCCGACCUGACCUGACCACCCUCCCUUUUCUCCCUCCCAGUCAUUCCCCAUGGACUGGGCGACUGGCCGGGGACACUGCCACAUCCGGACCUCGCGAGCGCGUACGCGGCGGUACGGCGUGCGUGCGCGACUCGGGCCGAGGCGACCGCAUGCAUCGCAUCGCAUCGCCUCGCCUUGCCCUCCUGCCAUGUCGCCCAGUCCUCUCCCCUCCGCCAGUCGCCCAGUCCGCCCUGCCCUGCCCUGCCCAGGUCCAGGUGCCCCCCCUGGUCAAUGGUCACCACCAGCACUGCCUAUAAAGAUGGACUCAGAUCGGCGAGCCCAGCGCCAGGCCUCGCCACGUGUGCGCCCUCCCGCUCCUUCUUAUACGUCCCCGUUCCCUCCCCUCCACCGAUCUCCCUCGUCUCCGUCCCCGGCCGUCCACCCCCGCUCUCCCUCCUCGCCCGUCGUCGUCGUCGUUACGUCAUCAUGGAGUCCUCCUACCUGGGAAAGCGCAGGCUGAACGGCGGCGCCGAUAGGGAGACGACGACGGCCAGGGCGCCGGCUGCGUCGUCGUUCCUCCCGGCCGCCGCGAUGGGGUACGAGUACGGUGACGCGGCGGAGGCGGCGGACCACCACCACCUGCCUCGCCGGGUGGCGGCGGGCGAGAUGGACUUCUUCAAGAAGGAGAGGAAGGACGCCGCCGCCGCCGCCGCCUUGGCCGCCUUUGUGCCGUCGUCGUCGGACGAGCACGGCAUCAAGGAAGACGACCUCACCAUCAACGUACGUUAAUAACCCCGCUUUGCUCGCGAAUCGACGAAUUCAAAUUCAUUUUGGCGUUUCCCUCCGUCGUCCAUCCCAUCCGAUCGAUCCACUAGUCUGUCGGAUCGGCGGUUUUCUACUUUUUCUGCUUGACGCGCGUGGCUGUGGCUCGGUUUUUCAGAUGGGUCUGCACCACGUCAGCGGGAGGAAGAGCAGCAUCAGGAGCGAGGAGUCCAGCGUCGACGACGGCGUCUCCUCCAACGGCGUGGAUCACAGGGAGACCAAAGCUGAGGUGAGGGAAAAAUAUCACCAACGAGCCGUGUGAUCCAUGCAUUUUUGCCUAUCUAGCUAGUUUCUACAGUACUUUAUUGUGAAUAUACACACGUACCAUAUCACUCACUGCCUGUUCUUGGAAAUUAAACUUCGAUUUCAUCUGAUGCGCCAAUUCUGCAUGCAAGUUUAGAUGGUGUUUGGGACUGCUCCACGAACUCUGCUUCAUAAACUUCGUCGUGGAGCAGCUCCACAAAAAACUGGAGUUCGUGGAGUACCUCUUUAGGUGCUCUCACAACUCCACCCUUUUUUUUCUCGAACUGAGUGCGUAGAACCGUUUGGCUAAAAAACGUAGAGCGGAGCUGAAAAACGUGGAGCAGAGCAGUCCCAAACACCCCCUUAGUCAAACCUUAACUGGCCUCCCAUGUAAGGCCUGGUUUAGUUUGCAAAAUUUUUGGUUUUUGGCUACUGUAGCACUUUCGUUUUUAUUUGACAAACAUUGUUCAAUCACGGAGUAACUAGGCUCAAAAGAUUCAUCUCACAAAUUACAGGUAAACCGUGUAAUUAGUUUUUAUUUUCAUCUAUAUUUAAUGCUCCAUGCAUGCGACCAAAGAUUUGAUGUGACGGGAAAUCUUGAAAAUUUUUGCGAACUACCCCAUGUAAAUAGCUACGACUAGUCCACUACCAGACAGACACUGUACAUACUAGAUAGUAGAGAGAAACAAACAAAAAAUGAAAAAAACUUGCUUAUUCAUUUUGUUUGUUUAGUCUCUCUUGUUAUUACAGGAUAUUAGUAUUAAAUAAUGUGUAUUUAUAUGACCAGCUGGCACUGGCAAAAUCCGAGCUUGGGCGCCUGAACGAAGAGAACAAGCAGCUCAAGGACAUGCUCAGCAGGAUGACCAUCAAGUUCAACGCCUUCCAGGUGCAGAUGCCGGUCUACACUACACUGAUGCAGCAGCAGCAGCAAAGGACCAAUAACCAUCAAGCCCUUCUCCGCGGAGCUCCAGGCCAUGAGGUAAACCACUGCCACACCAAAACACAUGCAUCGAUGUAAGCGAGGCAACGUCUCUGACCGAUCGAGACUGUUGUGAUUGUGACUUGCUGCGAUCGUAUCAUGUUACCAGCUGAUGAACGUCGAUCCGGAGACGAAGGAUCAUCAGGAGGGGAGCGGCGGCAGCCACCUGCUCCCACGGCAGUUCAUCAGCAGCCUCGGCACCGCCCCCGACGACCCGCUGCGCUCCGUGGGCUCGGACGCAAUGCACGGCGGCGGAAACAGCUCGGGGUCGUCCACCAGCAACGCGGAACCGCCGCCGCCGCAACCCUUGGACUACUGCCCUGGCAACGGGCUCAUGGUCAGCAGCAAGGAGAUGAUGCCGCUGCCGGCGUUCGAGCACGGCCACCAGCAGCCGCAGCAGCACCUCGCCCACGAGAUGGGUAGCAGCAGCCGGGCGGAUGAGCCGCCGCAGCCGCACCACCUGGCGGCGGCGCAGCAGGGCUGGCUCUCCAACAAGGUGCAUAAGUUCCUCCCCUCCAAGGGCCCCGAGCCCGUCCCCGAGGCCGCCACCAUGCGCAAGGCCCGCGUCUCCGUCCGAGCCCGCUCCGAGGCACCCAUGGUAGGCUUGGCUGCCAGUGCUUCUGAAUCUGAGUUCUGACUGUGGACUGCUACUGAGUCGUUGUUGCUGAAAUGUUUGUUCUUCUUGAUGGUAUGCAGAUCAAUGAUGGGUGCCAAUGGAGGAAGUACGGGCAGAAGAUGGCCAAGGGCAACCCGUGCCCCCGCGCAUACUACCGCUGCACCAUGGCCGCCGGCUGCCCCGUCCGCAAGCAGGUAUGCUGUGCUGCUGAACGAUGGGUCGAUCGAGCCAGAAGUUGGGCACGUUGUUGAUCAUGCAUGUGCGUGAUGGCAGGUCCAGAGAUGCGCCGAGGACAGGACGGUGGUGAUCACGACGUACGAGGGGCACCACAACCACCCGCUUCCCCCGGCGGCGAUGCCGAUGGCGUCGACGACCGCGGCGGCGGCGUCCAUGCUGCUGUCCGGGUCGAUGCCGAGCGCGGACGGCGGCAGCCUGAUGGCGGGGUCCAACUUCCUGGCGCGCGCCGUGCUGCCGUGCUCCUCCAACGUCGCCACCAUCUCGGCGUCGGCGCCGUUCCCCACCGUGACGCUGGACCUCACGCAGCCGCCACCGGGAGCCGCCUCCGCCUCCGCCUCCGCGUUCGCGCAGCCGCCGGCGUCGGCGCCGGCGCAGGCACGGGCGACGGGGACGGAGCCCUCCCAGCUCCAGGCCGCGCUCGCCGACGCCGCGGGCCGGCCGAUGCCGCUGACGACGCAGCUGUUCGGGCAGAAGCUGUACGACCCCUCCUCCAAGGCCCCCGCCGCGCAGGCGGACGCGGCGGGCGACACAGUCAGCGCGGCGGCCGUGAUCGCGUCCGACCCCAACUUCACCGCGAUGCUCGCGGCGGCGAUCAAGUCGUACAUAGGCAGCAGCGGCAGCGGCAGCAAUGGCGCCGGCGGGAGCAGCGGGACGACCGUGCUGCCGCCGGCGGGGGCGAGCAGCGCCGGCGACAGCAGCAGAGACGACAAGGUCGGGGAGCAAGGGAGCUGACGUGAUCGCCUAGCGAUAUGAUCGUCCGUUUGCUUGCUUGCUCUUUGCUCGCCCGAUUCCAGUUUUGUUCCGCUCUAGUUUGCUUCAGUUUAGUUAAUUGUCUCUUGCGUAGUUUAGUUCCCUCAAAAUUUUGCGUAGUUGAGAGUUUGCUUCAGUUUCGUCUGGUAGGAGACGAAAAUUUUGCUAUUUCUUUUUACUCCCCUGGGGCGAUUUUUAUGGCAGCAAGUGGAGUACCAAUUUUGUUCUCCUACAACUUUUAAUUACAGAUUCAGCAUCUCUAGGAGUCUUUAUAAAGCGCACUAUCUAAAUUAUCGUUUAGAUAGUCAUUUAUAUAAAUUGUUUCUAUAUAUUUUUAUUCUCCAACUGUUUUUCUAUAUCUUGCUUGUACUUUAGAAAGUUAUUCUCAUUUUUUAUCUUUAGCUAACGAGAAAUAUAAAAUAUGGGAUGACUAUGUUUACAUAACCAACUGAAGAGUUUGAUGGUAGAUAUUUUUUUUAUUAAAAUCUCUAGUACUUGGAGUUAGAAAUGAUUUAUAGAGUCUCUUAGAGUUGCUCUCAAUCCUGUGGAAGAAAAGUAGAUGCUGUCAGCUGUCACCAUUUUGUUCUUUCGGGGCAAGCAAUGUUAGUUAGCGAGAAAACUGAGAUUGCUUGAAUCAAAACUGAAACAUUGCGUCCCAUGUGUAACAGACUUGAUGAAGACUGCCGCCAUCUCUUUUUUUAACUGUAAAGGAGCUCGGGGGUGUUGGCGGACAAUCUCAAAAAAAAAAAAAAGUGUUGGCGGACGCUGCACUCGAGGAGUUGCGUUGCAGCUUAGCAAAUUGUAAGUCAGGGAAGGAAGUACACUAAAGAUAUGGGCAAUGCAAUCGGAUCUUCAACUGAAAAUCGUGGUUUGACUGUGGAGAUGGUGGACGAUGAGGAAUAAAGUGAGAGGGUGCAAGCUGCUGGGGAGGUGAAUGCAGUUCAGGCCUUGUUUAGUUUACCCCAAAAAUCAAAAAGUUUUCAAGAUUCUCUGUCACAUCGAAUGUUUCGACACAUGCAUAAAGCACUAAAUAUAGAUGAAAAUAAAAACUAAUUGCACAGUUUAACUGUAAAUCGUGAGACGAAUCUUUUGAUCCUAGUUAGUCUAUGAUUAGACAAUAUUUGCCACAAAUAAACGAAAGUGCUACAGUAACAAAAUCCAAAAUCUUUUUGUAUCUAAACAAGGCCUCAAUAUCAUUUGAAUGAAUUUGCAACAGUGAAUGGCUCAAACAUGACCGGAAGUCAGGCUGAGCAACCAAAGUGAAAGCCCCAAAAAGAACACUACAAAUUGAAUGUUGAUGUGACGUUCUCGUCCUUAACAAGGAAGGGGUUGGGGCUGUGUGGCAAGGACAACACAAGCUCUAUGCUAGAUAUUGAGGUGGGUUUCAUCCAAAGAGCUGCAAGUGCUCUGCAUGUUGAAGGUCUGUCAACCUUCCAUGGUCUGAGCAGAGCAACAUAAGCUUGGAAUGUCAAGAAUUUAGACAGUGGGCUAGAAGGUGCUCUUUCGUGUAAUGAUGGCAAACAAUUUAAUUUCUUGUUCUAUUUCAACUUGUUUUAGAACCUGUAAUAGAGUGACUGAUUGCUUGGCCAACCAUAGUGUAGCGGUUUUUUUUCUGAUGGAGGACAUGUGUUCUAAUGCCAGACACCAAACUUUAUAACCAAAUUGGUUUGUCGGAUUCAUGCACAUAUGUUUGUUUUUAGAUAUUCAAAUUUAGACAUAAUUUAACCUAGAAAAUAACAAAAGAUUUGUAAUAUCAUAAUGUGCUUGUAUGAUAUACUCACAUUUGCAAUGGCAAUGGUCAACAUACUGAAAACAAAUACAAAUCCAUAAAAAAACAGAGGUAUACUAUAAGACGAUCACAACACCGAGGGUAUUACUAGUUGACAAGGUAUACUAUAAGACGAUCACAACAUAGAGGUACACUAUAAGACGAUCAAACUUUGUAACAUGUAGAAGGAGCAAAACUAUGUUAUAACUAAUUAUUAUAGUUAUAAAUAUGCUACAAUAUCUAAUUUUUUUCACGAACUAAAUAAGGCUUAAAUGUUUAAUCCCUCUUCUAUAACAUAGUUUUGCUCCUUCUAUAUGUUGCAGAGCGGGCUGGACCGCUGGAGUAGGACGAGUGAGUGCGCGAGCUGCGGAGCGGGCCGGCCCAUACGCAGGAGAGGAGCGAAGGAAUUCGUCGGCCCAUGCGCGGGAACGGGCCAGGAUAAUUUGGUUGUCGGCGAGGUGCACAGUGCCACCCGGUCGGACCUUAAGCGCCGCCACGCACUCCAAACGGACGGAGGCGCCCCGCUCUCCCGCACCAGCCUUCGCAACUCUCCGUCUCGCGCCGCCGCCGCCUCGCCCCACGUCGUCGCGCCUCCUCUCUCUCUUUCGGCCGGCUUCCUUGACUGCGCCGCGCCGGACUCUCCUAUCUCUCCCUCUUCGUUGCUCAUGGCGCCGCCGCCACAACCAAAGCAGCUGGUGCUCGCCGCGUCAUCUGCGGACGCGGGCGUGGCCGCCUGGGACCUCCGCACCGGCGCGGAGGACAUCCGCUUCCGCCCCUGCGCCUCCCGCCCUCGGUCGCUCGCCUCGGUCGCCGACCGCUUCCUCGCCUCCGCUCAGGCUCUUCCAGCUGGCGGCAACUCCGGGACCAUCCACUUCUACUACUGGGACAAGGUAAGCACGCUCUACAUAAAACCCCGAACGGCGCUCUUGAACUCCGAACCCAUGACCCCGAGUCGUUUCUCGGUUUCAAUUGCAGCCGCAAGUGGCCGUCAAGAGCUUUCCUGCUGAGCCGAUCCGAGCACUUAUCGCCGAUCAGGAGGGGAGCUACCUCAUCGGCGGUGGCAGCAAUGGCAAUAUGUUCCUUUGGGAGGUGAGGGCACUGUGCUUUCUUUGUGAUGGGUUGAAACUGUUAGUAUGUGUUGUUGGAUGCUUGGUGUGCUGUCGUUGUGGUUGAUGUGGAAUGUUUCCAGUGUCUUUGCUUGGUUAUUAGUGAGCUCAAGGUGGUAUGCCCCUGGUGGUGACCAAUCAAAAUUGGACCAGGGCCUUCAUUUCUUUCCAGUUGGUUUGGAAAAUAAUAGUUGGGGUUAUUUAGUUCUGAAAUGAAAUAUGUUUACAAUAACUUUGUUAAAUUUCUUGCAUUAGAUCCUUUUUUUUUCCCGUAGCUUGUGUGCUGCACUGUAUGGGGUGGUGAACGACGAAUGUGUGUUUUAGGUGCUAAAACUUUGAAGGUGGUGCUUUUUUGCGUAAGUGUUCUCUUUAGCACUUAAUAACCUGGCAGUUUUAGAAGCUAAUUACUAUGCCAUAGGUUAACAAUUUUUGUGUUUCGUGCUAGAAGCUCACUGUGACCAUUAGAAAACUAUGCUGUUGCCAUUCGUGUAUACACCAGUUUAAAGUUCCAUGAUCAAAUGCCACCGGAUGUCUUCUUACUUUUUACUCAUAUGUCCAUUUAGCACCUGAAGACAUUUUCUGUAACGACAUGAUGUGUUUUUUCCCCUUCCAUUUUUCUACUUGAGCAUUGGUUUCUACAGUUACUUAAGCAGAAACACAUUGUAAUCCUCAGUUUUCUCUCAGAGUUGUGUCAAUAUUUGACAUGUUUACUCAGUGUAUUUUCACAGGUACAGUAUUAGGUAACUAAUUAUGUCUUUCCUCUGUUUGCUGGUGUCUUAUGUGCCUAUGAGUUUGGUUUCUGUCUGCAGUUUGGGCUUGUUUGGUUCACAGCGUGGAAAUCGCGCCUGGCCCAGGCAGUAACACCAGGCGUUCAAUUUCCAACGCCUGGGGUCAGAUGCGCUUGCCUGGCUACGGAUCCCAGGCGAGGGCAUGAACCAAACAGCCCCUUUAUGCUAUUUGCUAUAUAUCUGAAUCUGAUCCAUCCAGCACUUUUCUGGUUAAAUUUGAACAUUGUCUAAGCUAUUUAUCUGACCUAUCGGGUUUUAUGAUGGUUUAUAGGUGUCUAGUGGAGAGCUUCUCCGCACAUGGCAUGCGCACUAUCGUGCUGUUAGGUGCCUUGCGCUGUAUGACUAUUUGCUUGUCUCAGGGUCAGAGGAUGGGAGUAUCAAAGUUUGGGAUCUCAUCACGUAUGUUUGUUUUGUGUAGUAAAAUCGGUAAAACUAUUUUUGAAUAGUACUAUAGUGUUCAUUGGGUUUGGUUGUAUUGGUUGCAGGGUGCUUGAUGAGCAGUCAAGGCUGGAGGCCCAGACACCAUACAUGUAUAGUUUCAGUCAGCAUGCACUGCCUGUAACUGAUAUUGCUUGUUUUCUUGGAGCAAUUGCUGUAUCUUCUUCAGAGGAUCGAACAUGCAAAGUGUGUGCAACUCAACUCUUGUUUGUUUUUUUUAAUUGAAUGUUUUAUAUGCAGUUAUUUAUUUAUUACAGUUCUUGUUAGCUACUCUUAUUUAUAACUUAACUAGUACUACCACCGCUUCCAAAUGUAGGUCUUAGGAUUGUAUCUGGUCAAAAUUUUUUAACUUGGAUUAUAAGCAUGAAAAGUUACAUAGACUGAUAACAUAUGAUUGAUGUUCCUAUAUUUAUCAUGGAAAAAUACUUCCAUAAUAUAUGUUUCACUAUAUAAAUGGUAUAUUUUUACAAAAUUACAAGGCAAAGUGUCAUAUUGGAGAUUGCCAGUGUCCUAAACGACCUACAUUUGGAAUCGGAGGGAGUAGCAUCUUGGGCUACAUAUUCUAAUGGCAUUUGUUCUUAUCUGCAGAUUUGGAGUUUAUCUGAGGGUAGGAUGCUAAGAAGCAUUUCAUUUCCUACUAGCAUUGGUUCUGUAGCACUAGACCCAAGAAGUCAUAUUUUCUAUGCUGGUGGUAGAGAUGGAAAGAUAUAUGUUACUGCUAUGGGUGUUGAUCUCAGUUUUCAUGGUAGUGAUGAGUCAUCUAUUUUGGGCACAUUGGAUGACCACAGGUUUGCCUGACCUAGCUUUUUGUCUUGUUCUUGAAAUUUACUGCUGUGAAUUACUAGUUCUUGCAUCAUGAAAUUCCAUGAGAUAAUUGUUCAUCACUGAAUCGUCCUUAUCCAUAGAUGACCCGCUAUGUUUACCCAUAGGAAAUGCAUACAAUAUGGGCAUGGUUUUCAGCUUUGACAAGGCUCCGUAUCUUCAACCUUUACUUUAGACUUGAAUGAAUAAAAAUUGAAUUGCUAGGACAUCCAUGUUGCAUCUACUCUGAUUGAUGGGCAGAGGGAUAGAGUAAGUUGCAAAAAGGAAUAACAGAAAUCAUAGAUCUUUAUCUAGUGACAUUACAUUAAAGUAAUAAUGAUAAUCCAGUUUGGAAUUUAGUCAGCAACAUGGAAAUUCUUUUCUUUCUCAACACAUUAGGAAUGUAGCCAGGGAUCGAACAGGCAACAUGUACAUUCUGCACAGCCUUACACUUAAGUAUUCCAUAAAUGUGCAAGUAUAUAUCACUUAAAGGUCCUGUUUGGCAGAGCUCCACUCCUUGAUUCUCCAGCCCCACUUCCUGAUUCUCUGGAACUUGAAAUUUAUUCUGUCUGAUAGAAUCGUUUGGCAAGCUGUGACUGUGAAGUGAUUCUUGAAAGAGUGGAUGAAUCUGUAAUUGUCCAUAGUACCCUGACUGUCUGAACAAAAGUCUAUAAUACAUAUCAUGAAUAGGCAUACAUUGUUUGAUACAUGCUGGUUAAAUUUAUGUGUAACGACAAAUUGACUAGAGAAAUUCUUCACCCAAUACGCCAAUAAUUAGCUGUUGACACUGCAAGUUGCAUCAUACAAUCAUCAUAUUCCAAAGUCCAAACCGAUGGGGUCCAAUAGAUUACAAAGUCCCCAAAAGAGAACAAAAUAAUCAGACAUUUUCUUACGGGGUCCAGGCGUCUAGCUUCCCCUGUCAAUCUUCCCAAUUGUUUAAUAAACUAUGAAAGCCAUUGUUGUUCAUCCUAUGGCAAAAGUAGUAUAUAACCACCAACAAAUAAAUGAAUACCUGAUUUACAUGCUCACAGAACAAAUCAAAAUUAACUAGGGCUCAUCCUAUCCUUUGAUCAACAGAACAUUAAACAAAGUUGUGUUGCCAGGGCCUUUGGUCUGGAUGAGGGACGACCUGAGGCGGCCUGGACAUCUGUGGUUCUGACCUAGAGGAAGACACCGGUGGCCUCUAUGGAGACCACAGCCCGUGGAAGGUGGACACCCGAGCUCGAUCUGCUGGGAAAGAGUGUGCCUGUACAGGGGUAUGGUAGGGUUGCCCCCUGGGGUCAACUGACACCAACUGUACCGAAUCUUAAUUUCUAGCUAGGGGGGUGGGGGGUGGAGUUGUGCCACAUGUGGGUGUCCUGGGGAUGGACCUGGGCGCAGAGCUCCCCUGUUUGGACGGCUGGUGUUGGGCCAGUCCUGUUGGCAGCGCUGCAGUUGCCCACACAUGGAGAGAAAACCUCGGACCCCUCCAAGUGGUGCUUUGGGACAAAUGGGUGCAGGAUGGGGAAGUGCGGUCCUUUUAUACCUGUGGCAAUUGUGGAUCAAUAACCUUUUGACUUGUUGAGGAGGUCAUCAGAAGGGUGGGUAGCAGGCGUGAAUCUGUGGGAGCAGUUUUUUUGGCUCCGUGGUUGGUAUAGAAAAAUGAGAGAGCGAUUCAUUAGAUUUCCCUAAGAAGCUGUGCCAAAUUUUGGCGUUUGGCAGAGCUGGAGUGAUUCUCAUGAAGAAGCUGCUCCAAGGAUUGCUGCCAAAUGCACCCUAAUUAACUUCAAUCUAAAGGAAUUCUCAUCCUCUUUUUUAUUUGUUUAUCUGUUAUUCGCUGCUUAGAAACUACAGAUAGGCUGGAUGAUAGGCUUAUUUUUUUUGGCAAUGAUUAUUCAUUGAUCUGCAUUGUUGUUAGCAGUGCAGGUUGUUCAAUGCCAUUAUCUAAAUAAAUUUAUUUCCAACUACUUUCUCUGUUUAAUAUAGGCUGCUUCAGUGUCAAAUUCCUAACAUUUGUGUGGUGAGAUCUAUUAAGUUGAUUCUGUUUUUUUUUGACUGAUCCAGCAAGGCAGUAACAAGCUUAGCAUCAAGCACAGAUGGACUUCUACUUGUCUCUGGAUUUGAGGAUGGUAAUGUUCGGGUCUGGGAUACUAGAUGUCAGCAGGUGACCCGAAAAUUCAAACACUCCCAAGGUUAUACUCUUAUUUUAUAUUAAAAAGGCUAUAUUCGUACUGAAAAUCUGCCUUGACUUUACAAAACUCAGUGCAAUAUUUGAAAACUUAAUUCUUACGUUGGACACUCUUAUGCGUUGAAUAUGUGGUUGGGUUGCGAGCCUACUCCAUUGACUAGUAGAACUUUCUUUCUAGAGAAAGCCAAGGAUAACAUAUUUUCCUGGGCAUUUAAUAGGCAAAAGAUGUUUCUUUUUGUUUUUUUACUGUCAUUAAAGGCAUUUUUAAUAUUAAAUACAUUUCCUUAUGUUAGGUGAAUGGUGAUAAUUUGCCUAGGCUGAGUUAGUUCUAUGGGAAUUCUUUUUUUGAGGGAAGUUCUAUGGGAUGUCUUGAUUAUAACCGAAACAUGAACUCUGGAAUCUGGACUGCUAAAGUAUGUCUCCAUGAGUUUACAAAGUCAACUUUCAUGACUCAUGGUAUGAUUUUUUGUUAGUAUUCUUCGCCAGAAGCCUACAUAUCUGAUAUCUCUAAAGCUGAGGCUAGGAUUAUUCUAUGGCCAUGUUUUUUAAAAAAUAUAUCACAAUGCACCUUUUGUAUAUAGUUUAUGAAUCAUGUUUUUGUUUCCUUUUUUUCCCCUGAAUCUGCAGUACCUCUGAGCUUCCAUAAUGCAAUUGUUUGUCAGGUCCAGUAACCAAUGUUCUGAUAGUAACGCCACAACGAGUAAAUCUGCCACCACUACAACCAUUACGCAAAGUUUGCUCAGCAAAUGGGGAGGCUGAAUGGCGGGCAGUAGUUCUUCCUCGGCCUGAAAAUGAUGUUCCAAUUCCUGGAAAUAAAACCUCCAUCUUUAUGGAGCGCUACUUGGAUGAGCUUCAGGUUGGGUGAUUUUGCUUUGUCUUUCAUUUGUUGUCAUACAUCUUACAAGUGUCAUUUCCAUAUUUCUUUCUGUUGCAUCUUAUGUUUUUUUAUGGGGUCCAGAAGCAUGGUGGUUCUUCCAGGUUAUUUGAUUUCGAGCUGAAUGCUCAGAAUGGCACUCCAAACCAACAGGGAACAGAAUGGAGAGAUAGAUACUUGGAGUUGCAGGAUCUCUUUGUACAUGAGGUCCUCCAUCAGAUGCCAUCCUCGAGGAACCCAUGAUGCGCAUGCUUUGGAUAUCAUAGGUUGCUAUUGUCAAUUAAGUAAGUGAUUUUUAUUUUCUCCUGCUGGUUAACAAUAGAGAUCAUGAAGAAAUGGCAGAGAUUUUUGGCAACACAAUAGCAUAACCUGGAAAAUCCUCCUUUUUUUCAUUUCAAUUAUUCUAGUCUCUUUAUGGUAGCAUAAUCAAGUUAGCGGCAGAAGCAUAUUGCACUUAUAUGCAUGCUGUGUUUUUGUUUCAGCCAUGAGACUUACGUUUUUUAACACGUUGUGUAGGAUCAUUUGCGGUAUUGAAACAGUGAUGGUUGCCAUUCGGGCCACAAACGAUGUAGAUGAGCUCUUUGGAGUAAUUCAACUGGUGGUGGCUGUGGGGUGUAAUUGAGGGUGCCUGACUGCCUUUGGCCGCGAGGAACUUUUCAGAUUCUUAGUAAAAUCACUAGAAUCGCUGCCAAAGUUCACUUGGAACUGAUUCUCAUUUUUGUACUAGUCUCGAUAAACACAAAAACCUAGUUUCUCUUGAUUCUAUUCUAGUUCUAAUUUUAAGAAUCCAGCGAGCUAGGUAAAUAAAGUGAUUUUGAUUUAUUAGAGAAAUGAUUCUUUCUCAAGGGAAUCUGGAUUUGAAACUUUUCUACGAGAAUCUAGAUUUGAAACGUUUCCACGGGAGUUUAGAACCCUGCCAAAGUAUAAAAUUCUGAGAUGGGGCAUAAACUGGAACAAUGAAAUGGUGCAGAGAUUGGCCAAUUCUGAAGUAACCUCAGGUGCUGUUUGGUUGAAGCGCGGGAGAGUUGCGGUGGCCAUGCUGAGAUGUGCUCGGGCAUCGGUGUUCCUGGCCCUCCUGCUGUUCGCCAAGAUUAGUGUUUUAAAUAAAUUUGACUUCUUCAAUAGAUUAGACAAAAAAAAAAAACCUGCAGUGCACACCUAUGGCGGAAGUCGAAAUUUUUGUUAUAUACUCCCUCUCUGUACUGAAAAGCUGUAACUUCUAGAGUUGUUGUAAGUCCCAAAUUUAUAGAAAAAUACUAAAAUAUAUUUUUAUAAAAUAUUUAUUUUAUAUCAUAAAUAUUAAUACUUUUUUAUAACACGGAUUCUAAGAGUUUAAACUUUGAGAGAGCGAAUACAAGGGCGAGAAUGUCGAGAGUUGAGACCGAGGUAGCCAAGUCAAUGCUGCGUCAGAUGAUCCGACCUGCAUGCUCGGUCGAGUAAUGCGCAAUGCGGCGGCAGCUCCAACCAGUCGAGCUCGCUUUGCCACACCGUAUCCACAACGCCCGGCGCGGCGCAGGGCACACGGCGCGCCACCACCUGGACCCGCCGCGGCCGCGGCGGCGUCGUAACGCCCACGCGGCCACCCGAAGCACAAAUUGGAAAGAGCGACUUCUACUACAUGCACUUGGCUCGGCUGUCUGAGACCCUCUCUCCCAUGGUUUACACAGACCACAGAGAGCACAACCAUGCUCACUUUACUUAUCUGCAGGAAAAUCAAUUCCACAGGGCAAAACAACAGGAUCAGAGCACAAAACUUACUGCGAGUACCUCACUAAUAACUUAGCUGCUAGUUGGGUCCGACACUCGGUUAACUACUAUACUCACUCGCAUCGCCAACAACCACCAAAGACAAGAAAUGAAAAAGGAAAAGUGAAGUCAUUCUAUGCUCGCGGAAGCUGACAGUAAUAGCGCAUCCUCCCGGGGUCAAAGUCACAGUGCUUGGAUCUCGCCGCCGUAGCCAUACCGCUUCAGAAGCCGCUCAUCUUGCCGCCAGUUUUCCUUCACUUUGACCUCUAUCUGCACAAGGAAGGAGUCGUGCAUUACUGUUAGAUAGAAACUUCUCCACGAUGGUUGCAUUCCAGCAGGAGAUGGCCAAUCCACAGCGACCAUGUAAUAUAAGUGAAUAAGAUGUAUGUAAACCUCAAGGUAGACUUUCUUUUGUAGGAAGUCCUCGAUGUCAAGCCUUGAUGCGGUUGCCAACAUCUUUAUGGCUUUGCCAUCCUGCAUCAACCGGACAUGUCAGGGGAAUGUUUUUCUAUUAGACAACACAAACCGAGAAUUCAUGAUCUAAUCCCUUUUUUUACAAUAUAUUUAAUCUAUGAUUAAAAAAAGGUUUAACUUUGUCUCAUGUAUUUCAAACAUCCAGAAAAAACAAACCACACCAUGCGUAAUUAUGGUAUUCUUAACUUUUUUUUUACCUUCCCUAGUAUAAUGCUUCUUUGUGUUUCUUUCUCGACAAGUAUCUCAACUUGAAUGAAGUCCUUGGCAGUAGGCCUGCUUUUGUAACUGACAACAUUAACCUGUCACAAAAAACGUUUUAUAUUAGAAAUAGAGAAUAUCAAGAUGGAGAAUACGCUGCGCCAAACUGAUAGGGAAAAAACACCAGAAGAUAUACCUGGCAUGAAUAAGGAAUUUCCUGCCUGUAUUGAACAAAAAUCUUUUCCCUCACUAUUUCACCAACAAAAAAUCUCUCAGGGUGUUCACUAGCUAUAUCCUGCAACAUGGUGAACCACAUGGCUAAAUACAUGAACCAAAUAUGCCUAUUAAUCUCAAAUCAUCCUAUGUAGUACACCAUCUAACAAAAAAUAGAUGGUUCAGUUCAACUGGGGAAUGUUUUUUGAAAGAUCAGUCCAACUGAGGAAUCACAUUACAGCGCAUAUGCUCGUUUAAGAGAGAAACCACAGAGCAACAAAGAGGGUGAUAACUACGUACUAAAAGGGUGUAAACCUAUUAUUAUCAUCAUCUAGCAAAGUAAAAAUGUACCAGGGAAGUUCCUAAUCUCUGGCUUCCGAGAAAAUAUUUCUUCGCAGCUGAUUUGUAGCAGCCUAGCAGGGCACAUAGUAAUCAUUUUAUGUUAGUUCAUACAUAUGCGGUUUCAAGUUCACAUUGUUCAGUUCACCAGUACUGGAAAAAGCAAACUAUUAGGCCAUCUGCAGAAAGAUGACUUGCCAGUGUCUCCAUCCAUCAAACUAAGAAUAACACAAGAUUUGAUGGAUUCAACAUUGGAAUGGGCACAUCAAGUUCAACUUUGCCAGUGUCUCCAUCCAUCAAACUAAGAAUAACACAAGAUUUGAUGGAUUCAACAUUGGAAUGGGCACAUCAAGUUCAACUAUAAUGAUAUUUAGGAGCACACUCUUGACCACACAGACAAAAAUAUUCACUAAAAUGUUCUGGGCCUGUGGACCUGACUCUCUCUGUUAAUAAUAUAAGAGAACAGAUAAUGGCAUUUAAAGGAAAACAAACCACAGGGGAGAUGCCAUUAGAAAAAUAUGAAUGAUUUGGUAAUACCUUGGGGUAGUAAGCAGGACCCAGAGGGAGCUUUGACAAUAUCCACUCCUUGAUAUCAUCCACCCCAUUACCAAAUUUAGCACUUAUUGGUAUAACAUCAUCAACAUUAGUAAAUUUUUGGUACCACUGUCAAAAGAGUUCCAGAAAUCAAUACCAACUGCAUACAGAGGAAAGCACAAAGGAAACAGGGAAACACCUUUCAACAAUUGUAUCAGGUUCAUACCUCAAGUUUCUUUGCGAUUUCUCCAGGUUUUAUGAGAUCUUUCUUGUUCAAUACUAGCAGUACAGGAAGUGCAAUAUCUUUGUUUCCCACACCUUCUUCAAGCAUUUCAUCAAUCUAAAAGCUCAAAGCUUACAAGAAGUAAGGUAAAAAGAAAUGGUUGAAUGUCAGAAGGAUCGAUUACUUUCUUUCUUACUGGUGGGUGGUGGCAAUACCUUUUCAGGUGCUUUGCAAGCAUCAGCAACAACAAGCACACAGUCCGCACUGCCGAUAGCACUCCUAACAUUCUUCAUCAUCAUACUGUCCAGCUUAUGCAUCUCUUUUUUAAUAACACCAGGAGUGUCAUAAAGUAUAAUCUGCAAACUAAAUGAUAUCUCAGAUUAGCAGUGAAAAGCAACAUGAUCCCCUUGAUGAUAACUGGGUCCAGAAACUUGUGAGGACCUUAAUUUGCAUUUGCAUUGAACUGAAUUAAAUUCUGAUACCUGGUACUCUGGUUCAGAACAUAUACCAAGAAUGCGAUGCCUUGUCGUUUGCGGUUUAUCUGUUACAAUUGAAAGUUUCUGACCAACCAUUUGGUUUAUAAGGGUGCUCUUGCCAACAUUUGGUUUCCCCAAUACAGCAACAUAGCCUGAGGAGACACCGUAUCAGUACGCCAAUCAUUUAAAUGUGCAUCAAUUUCCUUUCUGGAAUUUUGACGAAAAUGCUCUGCGCAUUGCAACUUCGCAAGCUCCUUAAUUUUACUUUACGAAAUGCAUGACCUCAAUUCCUAAGCUUAAUCAAUACUUCCUCUUCUGUCCCUAAAAGCUUCAAUUCCUAGAGUUGUCUUAGGUCAAACCUUUUAAACUUUGAACAAAUUUUUAGAAAAAAAUGCUAAGAUUUAUAGUAUUAAAUUAGUACCAUUGACCAUAGAAUAUAUUUUCAUAAUAUACUAAUUUUAUAUCAUAGAUAUAUUGAUGCUCUUUUUUUAAGUUUGACUAGCACGAAUUUUAGGAAUUGAAGUUUGCAGGGGGCUGAGGGAGUACUAAACCCGACUAAUUUCAAACGCAGAAAGCACAGAAGUGAGAAGCCUAACCGCUGCGGUGAUUGGCGCAAAGAGAGGUGCCCAAUUCCUCCGACUCGUACUCAUCCAGCAGCGCCAGGCUCCGGUCCGGCUUCUCGAUGAGCUCCAGGCGCGGUCUCGUGCUCACUGCCGGUUCAGCCUCCUCCUCCUCCUCCCCCACUUCUUCUUCCACCAUCUCCUCCUCUUCCACUCCUGAAUAGGUCAGAAUCGCAUUGCACACAGCCCCACCUCCAUGCUUCAGUCUCGAGGCGCGGACGCGUCUUCCCCGCAGCACACACAGGGAAAUAAAACACUGUGGAAGGGAAAGGGCUCUACGGGAGAGACACGGCGGCGGCGGCGGCGCCACGAGCCGGAGCGCGAGGCCAAGCUCCAUCCCGCGAGAGUGCAGCAGAGUGCGCAGUGAUGUCCGCGUGCGUCCGCCAUUGGGGAUAAGGGAAAAGAGAAGGCGGGCGACGAGACGUUUUCGGCCCAUUUUCAGAGGCCCAUAAAAGGACAAAGGCCCAGGCCCAUGAGCCGGUCACGGCCUACCCGCCACGGAGGGACGGAGCCCUCCCGACAAAAACGACGAGAGCAGCAAGGCACCUAACCGCCGCCGGAGCGCGGAGCAAAACCAUCUCCAAAACCCUAGUCCCCAACCCCUCGCUGGGAAGUCUCCUCGGCGGCGGCGGAGAUGGGCAAGGCGAAGGGGAAGCAGCGUCAGGACAAGUUCUACCACCUCGCCAAGGAGCAAGGGUACCGGAGUCGCGCGGCGUUCAAGCUGCUCCAGCUCGACGCGCGGUUCCGCUUCCUCCCGACGGCUCGCUCGGUGCUCGACCUCUGUGCCGCGCCAGGAGGGUGGGUCCAGGUGGCCGUCAACCAUGCCCCCGUGGGAGCCUUCGUCGUCGGCGUCGACCUCGUCCCCAUCCGCCCCAUCCGUGGUGCCCACUCGCUCACCGAGGAUAUCACCACCACCAAGUGCCGCGCCGCGGUGCGGAGGCUUAUGGACUCCAACGGCGUCUCCGCCUUCGACGUCGUGCUCCACGACGGGUCGCCCAACGUCGGUGGUGCCUGGGCGCAGGAGGCCACAUCGCAGUCGGCUCUCGUCAUUGACGCACUGCGCCUUGCUACCAUGUUCCUCGCUCCCAAGGGCGCCUUCAUCACGAAGGUAAAGGAUUCUAUAGAAGAAGAAUGCUCAAUGUUGCAGCCAUUGGCUUCAGUUUGUAAUUAAGCAUGAUGUUUAUUUUCCUUGUAAUAUGUGAAUGCAAAAUAUCUUUGUUGAAAACACACUAUAAAAAUCUGUUCUAAAUGAGUAGCAGCAUGGUAUCUUGACAUUUUCAUCCCUAGGCAGGUGCAAUGUUUAUGUAUAUAUAUGUGCUCCUUGGUUCACAGUUAAGUAGUAUCCAUUCUUCUGACAUAUUGAGUGGUUUUGACAGUUUAUACCUUACAGAGUUGUCAUGUGUUUUAUUAUUAAUUCAUCUCUUUAGUUAUUGAAUCUGCUUUACUUUCGUUGUUCUCAUUGUCUCACAUUUCAAUCCAUGUUUAAUCAACUGUUCUUUUUCUUCAACAGGUUUUUAGGUCUCAAGAUUACAACGCUAUUAUGUACUGUCUUAAACAGGUCUGUAUUCAUUAAAUGUUUUGUAAUAUUUUUUUAUAUUUCUCGUAUUUGGUUAAUUGAAACUUCAAAUAUCAUUUCGGCAUGCAGUUCUUUGAGAAGGUUGAGGCGACUAAACCUUCGGCAAGUCGGUCUACAUCUGCUGAAAUUUAUAUCAUCUGCCAGAAAUACAAGGCUCCUGCAAAGAUUCAACCAGAACUUCUAGAUAUAAAGCACUUGUUCAGUGUUGUUCCAGAACAGACCAAAGUAUGUUGAGCCACUUGUCUGAAUCAUCUGUCUAGUUUCUUUUAUUCUUUUUCUGCUAGCAUACCUUGAUUUUGGAAAUGUUUUGUGCUCUGCAGUCUAGGGAUGUUAUGGAUGGUAGGAAAAAGAGACACCGUGAUGGGUAGGGCCCCUUUUCACACCAUUGCUGGAGUUUGCCUGCUUGUUUUCUUUUUCCCCUUCUGAAAGAAUGCAACUUUUUUAUAUCUAUAAUUGUUAGCAUGAUUAGCAGUGUUCACAUCAUAGUUGAGUAUAAUGUUCUACCUAUACCUAUUCUCACAUUACAUAUCCACUUCUUAAGAUCAUUAUAAGUUUAUAAUGUUCUACCUAUUCUCAUGUUACAUAUCCACUUCUUACGAUCAUUAUAGGUUUAUAACAGCCUGUUUUCCAAUAUCCUUAUUCUGCUCACAUGUAAAGAAGUGCAUUGCUCUUGGUAUUGUGAAAGUUUAUGUCGCUCUGUUAUUUCGUGUAAGCAAUUGAGAUGUUUGUUCUCAUCAUUUCAGCGUUUUUUUAAGUCACAUAAUCAGUUAGGCAUUUCUUGUUUGAGCCAGAAAACUGUGCUUUUCUGCCCUUGGGUAAGCAAUGAACAAGAAUUAAUAGUUUGUGAAUUUGUUCAACAAAAACAUGGUACUCGAGUUCAUGUAUGGUGCAUCGCUGAGUGUUUAUGUUCAUAACAGUGAGUGGGUGGGUGUUUAUGUUGGUUCACUGCACUUAAGGCUGCAAUUGGUGAAGUUGUAGCUUUAAGUUUUUGUUACACGAAGCCCUCUUUGGUGAACAAUAUGACACUAGAUUGUUAUACACUGAUAUCACUAACUUGUAUGUAGGUAUGAAGAAGGGAAUACGACAUUGCGGAAAGUCGGUUUGGCAUCAGACUUUGUAUGGUCUGAUGCCCAGGCGCCACUGGAGUUUUUGGGCUCUUACAAUGCAAUUUCAUUUGAUAAUCCAGAAUCCCUGCCCAUAAAAAAUCAUGAGCUUACAACAGAUGAUGUAAGGAACUGAUGCCUUUGCUAAGCAUACUGCACAGCUUAUCUUUCCAUCUAUUCUAGUAUAAGUACUUACGGUUGAUUGUUUGGUUUGUGCCAGAUAAAAAAUUUCUGUGAGGACUUACUUCUGUUGGAUAAAAAUAGUUUCAAGCAUAUCUUGAAGUGAGUACCUUAUCUACCAUUCUAUUUUCCCAUAUGGUUUAUUUCUGUUCAUUUAAAUAGUUAUGAUAACCCAAACAAGUCUAUAAGUCAAGGUGUGUGGAGGAUAUAAAUCUUGUCUAUUUGCAUGACCAUGUUAGAUGGCGAAUUCGCUUACGAAAAUCACUGUCAGCGUCUUCACAAGUCACCCCAAAGGUCAAUGAUGCUGUGGAGAACACAAAGGUCACAGAUGAUGAUGUGCUUCUACAAGAAAUGGAAGAAUUGACCAGUGUCAUCGAUAGAAAUAAAAAAAGAGAGAAAAAGCGUUUGUCAAAGCGUCGAGCGAAGGUAUUAUGAAAUACAUAUACAAUUUUUGCAAUAUGAUGAUUUGACAUCUAUGCUGACAUAUGGGUCUCUUCAUUGCAGGAUAAAGCACGCAAGGCCACAGGAAUGCAGAUUGAUGCUACUGGAGAUGAUUAUGGCGAUCCUGACUUGUUUUCUAUUAGUGUUAUUAAGGUAUCGUGCUUUUUUCUGUGGUCAUGUUAUGUGCUAUGGUUACUUAGUGGCAUUUCCUGUGCUCAGAAUUUAUACCAAUAGCUCACUGGAAGAGCUUUAGUUUUGCAUGAUAUUGAACUUGUUUUCCCAUCAUUCCUUAGUAAACAGCAAUACUCAUUUUCCUCUCCUGAGUUUCCUCCUUGUCCUGCAUGCAAUAAUUUCUAAAUGCGGCAGCCUUCAUUUUUGCAAAAACACACCAACAAAUUUGAUUCACUCUAUUUGGAUUUCUGUAAAGUAACCUUCUAAUGGGCUGUGUAUGUGCUAUCUUUGCCUGUGGUUUGUUGCAAAAGUAUCUAAAAGAGCAUGCUCGUUCAUGAUCAUCUAAUUCUUAAGUUUUUAUAUUCAUUUUCCUUUUUUAGGGUGGAAAACAACUUGAAGCUGUUGAAUCAGCAGAGCUUAAUGUGGAAGAUGAAAUUGGAGACAGUGAGAAUGAGGAUACUCAAGCUCUUGAAGACUCUGAUGAGGAAAUUGAUUCUGAUGAGGAACAGCAGAGGUAAUUUUUUGAACAUCCACGCCAUCAGAAAGCAGAAUUAAGUGAUCAAAUAUCCUUAUCCUUAUAUUUCUAAAAAAAUAACUGUAAUGUCAAAAGUUUGUAAGUAAUCAUUGUUCACAUCAGGUAUGAUGCCCAGCUUGAGGAGAUGCUUGAUGAAGCUUAUGAGCGCUUUGUAACUAAAAAGGGUGGUGAAAUAAAACAAGAACGCAAGCGUGCGAAACGAAUCAAUCCUGAUGCUGAUGCAGACCUGUUAGAGGUAAUACAGCAGCCAAAGCACAGGACUUGUACAAUGCUAUGCAAUUUAUUUUUCUAUGUUGCAAUUUACAAUGAUACAGGGUGUAAAGUUUUAAGAUCUCGAUUUAGGUUUCAAUAAUAGAGGUUGUAAAGUUUUAAGGUGAUAUAGAUGUUCUUAUUAUCUUUUAAUCUUACUAGGGAGGUGAAGAUGAUGGUGAUGUUGAAAUGGAUCAAGAUUUUGAUGAAGAUCAAGAUCAGGAGACCAAUCCCCUUCUGUUAUCUCUAGAUGAACAGAGGCCAACUAAAGAGCAGAUUGUAAAGCAAUGGUAUAGUCAGGAUGUGUUCACAGAAGCUGUAACCGGCGUUACUGAGCAGAGUGACACUGAAGAUGAAAGGGAGAGUUUGCAGAGGAAUAAGAAGAUGGAUACUGGCAAAAAGGAAAAGGUGGCUAAAGCACAGCGUUUGCAACAAGAAGAUUUUGAGAUUGUACCAGCAGAACCUGUCCGAAACGAAGAGGAUUCAUCUUCAUCUUCUGAUGAAUCAGAUCAAUCAGAGGAUGAUCUCGAUGAUUACAGAAAGGCUGAAGUACUAGCCUAUGCUAAGAAGAUGCUGAGGAAGAAACAGAGAGAGCAGAUACUUGAUGAUGCUUACAACAAGCACAUGUUUGAUGAUGAAGGGUUACCCAACUGGUUUGUUGAGGAUGAAAAGCGACAUAGGCAGCCCAUGAAGCCUGUUACACGUGAGGAAGUAGCAGCGAUGAGGGCUCAGUUUAAGGAGAUUGAUGCCCGUCCAUCCAAGAAGGUUGCAGAGGCCAAGGCUCGGAAGAAGCGUGUUGCCAUGAAGAAACUUGACAAGGCACGCCAAAAGGCAGAUGCUAUAGCAGACCAGAAUGACAUAAACGAGCGAUCAAAGAGGAAGAUGAUCGACCAGAUUUACAGGAAGGCGAUGCCAAAGAGGCCUCAGAAGGAGUAUGUUGUUGCAAAGAAGGGGGUUCAGGUGAGGGCUGGCAAAGGGAAGGUGUUGGUGGAUCCACGGAUGAAGAAGGACAAGCGGGCCAGCGGGACUGGGAAGAAAGGGAAGAAGGGCGGCAAAGGCGCAAAGGGGAAGGGUGGCCUGAAAGGCAUGAGAGGGAAAGCUGGGAAGAAGGCUGGGAAAGCCCCGCGGUAAGGAAGCUGAAAGCUGGAAGCUAAAAGCAUGGCUGGAAUGCUGGAUGCCCGCCUCCGUGCUAAAUUUUUGUCUCGUCCGACUACAGCUACUCUGUAGGCAGAUGUUUUGAAGUUAUGUGAUGAUAAAAGUUUAUGUGUUCAAAGUUUUUUAGCGUGGGUUAUCAGUGGCUAUAAUUUGUUUCUAAACUAGUGGUCACUUUGAGUGUCACUAAGCAUAAUUUACACAUUUCACAAUCAAUUAUCAAAACUUUUAGCCCCCUUGGGGACUCCAGGGUACAGGACAUACAGAUGCCUGCAUCUCUACUAAUAUUUGUGUGACGCACGCCGGUGGAGACUUCUUUUUUUACAAUUGAGGAACUGAAGAGUUCUCCGUUGUGUCGAGAUGGGCGUGGUGUGUCUGUGGCUUUGGCUGCUUUGGACUAGAUAGGCGACUUUGGCUAUGAAGUUCCUCUGGAAUCCGCUUGCAUUUCCUUAUCAGAUGAAAAGAAUGCGGCACUUUGAAUCCCAAACAUUGAGAUGCAGAGACCGCCUGGAUUCGCAUUCGUCAAGUUGACGAUCAGAGUAGAAUCUGAUCCAAGCUUUUUUGCGUUCAAGAUUUGGAAUCAGGCUGAUGCAGAGGUGGCCACUGAAUCCGAGCUACUUGGUCAUAGCAUCAAGCAGCUGGCCAGAUACCAACUAAUGAUGGCUCAGCUCUAAGAGAAUAUAAGCAGUGAGCGAUGGCUCACAGUCACUGCAAAAGCCGCUAUUGUUGUAGUGCUUAAACAAUUGUUUUGAGUAGGAGACAAGUUGACCGUAUAACCCACUAGUGGUGCGUGCCCUUACACCUGAACGUCAGUAGAAUAGCAGGAACCAAUCAAGACAUCUCUGUACACAAAAAGCUACAGAAUAAUAUAUUCUUCUUUUAAAACCCAACAAGGUAGUAAUCUACUAAUUUCAACACAAUAUAUACUCCCUUUCCAGUUGAAAACAACACAGAAUACUCAAUCCAGAAUCUCCAAUUUCACAGGGCAAGAGGCAAACACAAAUAAAGAUUCAAAAUUUGGAGUAUCUCAAGUCACAAUCUAUCUUUAGUAACAGCCCAUACAAAGCUGCAGACUCAAACACUACCCUAAAAAUAUUCAGAAACGCUAGCAAAGCGCUUGAAAGAAGCCUCCAUUUCACUACCCAGCAUCUUCCUGAAGCCUUGCCUGGAUGGUUCAAAAUAUCAGUGGGAAUCCUGCAUCUUUGCGAUGGCUUUGUGCAGAUAUGAUUCUGAGGUAGAGAUCUCUUGAUGGGUCGAUGCACGCUGCACGAAUCAAAACUACCACUUGCUGCUCCAACACAUCCGAUGGAUGCAAACCUUCCACGCCCAUUCAUCUAAACCAAGAAAUGGUAGCCUUUGGACAGAUCAAGUGGCAGUAAAUCAAAUCUUAUUGUGUGUGACAGUGCAAAUUCCAUGAACAAGCUGGGAACAAGAUUGGAAUGUAGUCAAUUCCCUUUCCAGGAUCAUUGGAGAUGAAAAGUUACAUAUACCCACAUAGAUAUAUUCCUUUGGUCCCCAGGAGCGUGCACCGGCUGCUUAUCUCAUUGGGAAUAUGUUCUAUGGAUUGUACAUCGGAUGGCUGAAAUUACAAAGUGAUAUACGGUGAAAAGAAUGGAUGUUCUUAGCCCAAAUCCUGUUAUCCUCCAUUCUGCAGUGAAUUAUGCAUCAGGUAAUAUAUAAAUUCAAAUUCAAAUUACACGUGAAUCUGUGUUUGAAGUGACAGCAUUUUGACAACUAGUUUUUCAACCAUGCAUGAAGCUGAUAUGACAGUGGACAAUGGUCAGGAUGAUAUUACAACAAUCUGAGAGAUCAUUGUGAUCAGAUGCAUCAAAGCAUUCAACCAGGUGCAUGAAUGGACAAUGGUAAACAAUGGGCUAUCAGAUAGAGACAAGAAUCUAGGAACUAUGAGCCAUGGAAGCAUUCAAUCAGAGGUUUGGUUUGCGUACCUUUGCAGUUCUGACUUUUCAGGAAGCGCGUCCCUCAGGGCAUCUUGCAGGCGCAGUCACAUAACCUAUUGGCUGAUACGCACAUCUUCCGAGCUAUGUGCUCAGACAUCGACCUGCAUGCCAGCCUCAUAUUUCAGACACUAAAGACAAUGGUCCUCCAUGCUACAACACUAGCAUCUUGCAAGCAUCUGCAAGGACCUAACAAAUAUUUACAGACCUGAGUUUUAUCAUGCAACAAGUACCUUGCUGUACAAGUGCAGUCUCAGAAUCAUAAGGGUAGCUUGGGCAUGGACCAUAGAGAACAUAUGCAAUCCCCUCUUCCAAGGCCCUGGCAACAGGUGAAAUGUAUUCUUCAGUCCAAAAGGGACUUAACAAGCCUUGCUUUGGCACAUAUUCUUCCAAUUUCUCAUCAUGCAUGGAGCAAGGAUACAGCCCGGAUAAGGUUAUUUCAUGUGUACAAAAGGGUAGGCUUUGGAUUUCCUUUCAUUCACCACUCAAAAGUUAAACCCCUUUAUAGACAAUCUACCUUGAUGAAGAGUGAAGACGACAAAAGACAACACUGCAAUCUUGUUCAGCCUUUGGAUAUGUGAUGGAUCGACCUGCCACUUAAGGAGAGGCAAACAGAAACGUCUAGUCACUAAGGGAUUCAGCAGUCACUACUUACAGAGCAAGGCAGCCUUGUAACUUCGCUCCAUUAUAAAUGCAUUCGUCCACAGCAGACAACACCAUGCCUUUAUAGGUCUCUGCAAGUAUACAAAACAGCUGCUGGAUACAGUGGCAUUACAUUACAUUUAAUUUGAUUACUUGCACUGAUCUUAGGCCAGUCUCAAUGGGAGUUUCAUACACAUUAAAUAUGCUGAUGUGGCGCUAUAUUAAUGAAGAGAGAGAUGAUAAGAGUUUCAUGGGAGUAGAGAGAGUUUCAUCCCCAUGAAACUCCUAUGCACUGUUUCCAAAAUAUGGAUGUGUUGGAAACUGUGUCAUGAAACUCCCAUUGAGGAUGGCCUUACCCUCACUCCUGUCUGCCUAUUCAUAAUGCCCACUGUUCUUGCCGCCUGAAAAGUAUAUGUUUGAUCAGAACUUGAGCCAUAUAUAGAAGUUAUAUAUUACUAAUCACCCCUAUAGUCUUUCGUGCAUGAAUGCAAGCUCAUGUGCAUGCUCGAACACAGGAUAUUGCGUUGCUAUUUCAAAAGGACUAAUGUGCAUGAAUGCUAAUAUGCCAGAGAUGAGGUGAUAUGUUGGCAUGCAAAGUCCUUUUUUUGCAGUAAAAAGGAGGCACUCCUGCAGAGGUCUCAGGGGGCUGAAAUGAUCAGUGCUUGUGCAUCAGAGAGCAGCGACAUGCACGCAAAAUAAACCAUUGGCAUUGUUAGAUUCAGUGUGCUGCUGAAAUGGGUUGUACAGAACUCCAGAUCAGGUCAGCGCCAUCUCGGUUGUGUGAAAAACGCAGGUGGGCCAGAAGCAGAAUGCCCCCUAUUGUGAUUUGUGAGAUCUACGCACCUGCAAGUUCAGCCACAACCUUUACAUGUUAGAAAGGGUGACGAGUGCGUGUACAAAGUCAUCCAAACAUCAGGAAAUUAACUUUAACAACAGACGAAACGCACAGGUGCUAUGGCCCUAAGCUUGGGACACGAAGAGCUCUUUCUCUGAUACCAUAUCCAGCAUCAUGCACCGCCGGUCAUCUCAACACAAAAAUCUUAAGAGGUUUUAAAACAUAGAGAUUCUACUCUUUGAAUUUAGAUCACAUAGUAUCCAUGUCCCUUGGCCCUGAAACGAGCCAGCCUUAUUCUCCCCAGCCACCUUUAACCCACAAUUGUGAUUCCAUGCAACUUACAGCUCACACACAGGCACACAGCAGGCAACCCCAGGGUCUAUAAAUAGCAGAUCUUGUGACAAGAGAUACCAAACCAUAAGAGCUUCUGAAGAGCAAAAAACUUCAGUCUAGACACUAGAUACAGUAAGCCUUGGCACCAACAGAGGUUAAUAUCUCAACAAGGAUACUUCAAAUAUGUCUGCCUCGCGGAGCUCCUCUCCCAACUCCAUGUCAAAGUGGAGCCCCAAAGAGAACAAGAUGUUUGAACAGGCACUCGCCUACUAUGGCGAGGGCACACCCAACCGGUGGGACAAGGUGUCCAGCGCCAUGGGAGGCAUCAAGUCUGCUGAGGAGGUGCGCUGCCACUAUGAAGAUCUUGACUAUGACGUCAAGAUGAUUGAGUCAGGCCAUGUACCGUACCCCCAGUACAAGACACAGGGAUUCUGGACCCGAGGUAAAGUCCAUGACACUUGAAAAGCAAACUGGAAACAAAUAACAUAACAGCUUCGUUCUGUAUUCAUAAGCUUUUGGUUAACUAUAUAUGCAUGCUAACUGGUGAUAGUCACAAGAAGCAGGCCUCGAGCUAGGCAUAAUUCAGUCACCGUACCAUAUUUUUUUAUGAAUAGCUCGACAUGCAUCGCUAUGUCAUCGAUGUCUCAAGAAUUCACACACUUGAGCAUCUGAGUAUUUUAUGUUCUUUAGCUGUUCCAUGCAUGGACAUUGUAUAGGCUCACUAAUGCCCACUAAUUAUGUGGGCUCCAAUCCUAGUAUUAUGACAAAAAUCUCCUACUUCCAAUAGAAAAGUUUGGACCUUACACUUUACUCCCUCAUGCAUCCAGCUUGCACCCGACAUGCAGUUCUCAUAUUACUCUAAAAGUCGCAAGUUAUGCCAAACGGGUAGGCAAGCUUUGGGUAGUUCUUUGCUUCCUUUAUUGUCCUUCUCUUUUGUUUUAUAUUCAAGUGGGUGAUUUCUGGUAGGCAGGUCUUUACAACCGCUGUAGAAGCAGCUGCAAACGAAAUCAGUACAAGCAGAUAUCACAUGUACAAAGCAGAAUUAAUGUUUACAGUUCAUAGAAACUUACAGUGUGCAUAUUGACUUCUGCUUUCAGGUUAAAAUGUUGGAGGCUCAAGGAGGCAGAAAACAAAGCUCUACGAAUCUAAGAUGGACCUAGGUUCUAGAAGGUAGCAAAAGAAUCCAGCUCUGGUUGGCGAAUAAAAUGAUGAAACAGUGUGUACAUGUAUAUAGUAUAGGUUAUGAGCAAGUUUAUGUCUACCUGGUUGUAGGAUCUAGUGUACAUUCAUAAACCGCAUGUAUUCAUUGUCCCCUUGAACUAAGUUAUGGAGGAUGUAAACUCUUGUAUUUAUGGAACUAAAAAAAAUUGUUUCGUAGCAUUUUGUUGCCUCUAAAUUUUGCUUUAGCUCACCAAUGUUUUUUUUAGCAUCAGGUUCAAAAUGAGAGGUCGCUAGAUUGUGCUCACGAACAACGCAAAGAACCAAAUGCUAGAAUCACGUAUAUUUGAGUCCACCAAAAGCCACUGUUAAAGAAUCCUCCGUGCAUAAAGUAGAAUCAAGAUGGUGUAACAGUAGAAUCAAAAGCAGCAACAGAGAUUGGUCCGGACAAAAACUUUAUUCCAACUAUUUCCCAUCUAGUAUGCUCUAAGAUGUACAAUCAAGUCAUGACUGAAUAAUGAAAUGGAAUGACAUACAUGAAAGGAAGAAACACCAUAUCAUUUCCAACCACAAAUCAUCCUUUUUUCUAAUAAUCAGAAUAGGGAACCAUUAACUUAUGCUCCACAUAGUUGCAUCAAUUAUGAAUAUUUAAUAAAAUCACAAGCUUACAACAUAAUAGCAUUUGACUCUGAAACUAAUCAACUUCAGUUGUAACUCUGCAAGGACCCUGAUGUGAACAUAGACAGUGUCACAAAUCUGGGACACCAUCAUCUACCCCAGAAUCAUCUAAAUUUAACAGCUUAGGAGAACAAAUACAUAAGAUCAUCACAUACAUGUACAUACCUAGCUAAGAACUCGCAUUACCCUUAUUCUUCUUCUUGGCCGCAGCGCCCUUACUCUCCAUGAGGCGCCACAUGUACCACGCGCCGACUGACCUGUACGGCCUCCACCGCUCGCACAAUGCCACCAUCUCCUCCGGAUUGGGGAGCCCCUUGAGAUUGUACAGCUCCUGCACGCCCUUGCGCACACCGAGGUCGCCGCACGGCAGCACGUCGGGGCGGUGCAGUGAGAAGAUCAUGAACAUGUGGACAGUCCACUCGCCGACGCCUCUGACCUUGGUGAGCUCCGCGAGGAGCGCAGCCUCAUCCAUGGCAGCGACGGCGGAGUCAGAGAGCUCCCCGGCUGCGAAUCUGGCCGCGAGGUCGUGUAGGUAGGAUGCCUUACGGCCGGAGACGCCGAUGGUACGCAGGUCGGCGGCGGCGAGGGCAAGGACGGCGGCGGGUGUGACUGUGACCGCGUCAGCGGCUACGUUCGCGGCCGCCGCCGAAGCAGAGGGGAGGAGCGCGAGGAAGCGAGCGUAGAUGGCAUCCGCAGCGGAGGGCGCGAGCUGCUGGUAGAGGAUGGAGCGCGCGAGGGAGUGGAACGCGGGGAGGGAGGGGGUGGCGGCGAAGGUGGGCGCCUCAGUGGAGGCAAUGACCGCGGCGAGGAGGGGGUCCGCGGCUUGGAGGUGGCUCAGCGCGGCCGCAAGCUCUCCGGGGGACGACAGCGCAGGAAGCACUGGAGGCGGAGGUGCCGGCGGCAGUGGUGCGAGGGCGGUCGUGGCCAAAGGUUUCGCGGAUGGUGUCUUGACAAUCUUACGGGAGCGGAAGGAGAUCUUGGAGGAGCGAAGGCCAGUGACCUCCGGAGGCGGCUCGAUGGCCGGAGAUCGGGAGCGCGCCGGCCGCCCCAUGUAGGUCCUUCCGGGUGGCGUGCGGCUGCGACGUACGGCGCCGCCGGAGUUGGAGGUCAAAGGAGGAGCCGAGGCGGAGCGCCGGUUGUUGUAAAAAAAAAAAAAAAAGGCGGAGCGCGGAGGCAAAGUGAGGGUGAAGGUGAGAUGGGACACUGUACCGACAGAUGAACAGCGGCCCGGUAGAUGUUUUAGGGCUGGGCCAUCUCACUCAAGUUUGGUUGAGGACGACCCGUUUCGGCCCAGCUAAAUUUGUUGGGUCGCGGAGACACGAUAAAUCGCGACAUAAUCUUGGGCCACGGAAACUCAAUCACUUGGGAGUAUGAAAAAAAAAAGCAUCUUCAACUCCAUUAAUUUUGGCAAUAUUUCCUCAAAAAAAUUGGCAAUAAUCCGAUUUUCCUCACAUUUAUAAAAUCAUCUUCUAAUAAAGUUUGUUUUUGCAGUCUAAGCGACUUUGUACAGCAUUUUUUUACUAUGUUAGAGGUAAAUCAAACUUUGUUGAUACUUUAGGGGAUAAAUUAGACUGUAAAUAUUUUCUUUGAAAAAUUAUCUAAGUUUUUUCUAGAAAAUUUAUAUGAAAUUACAAAUCCUAAAAUCUAUUGCAAUCUUAAAAACUCAUAUAAGAUCCAUUUUAUCUUAGAAAUUUACCAAACCAGUUUUGUAUUUUUGAAAAAUCAUGUUCUAUCUUUUAGUGCCUAUAUUGAAUUUUGUUUAAAUGUUGUAUGGACUCUUUUUAUGUUUAUUUGCUAGCAUAUGAUCUCAUUAUCUGUUAUAAUUAGUCAUUGUUGACUAACCAAACCAUGUUGAAGGCUAAAGUGACAUGGACUAUUCUCGCUAGCAAAUGUUUUAGGUUGGACUAGCUCAUUUUGACGCACUUGUUCUCCAUUCGUGCAUCUCCAUAAGGAAGUGUUUCUCCCUAAAGUUGUACUAGACCGGGCCUAAGUAGGAACAAAUAUGAUGUUGUUAGAGUAUCACUACAUGAUACUUGUGUUGUCAUCAAAGUCAUGUGAACUUUUUCACAAUCACGGUCAUUCGACGUAGACUAACUAUAUAUAAUAUAUAUGAGAUCAUCUUAAAUCUACCAAAAAAGGCAAAACAAGUUCAUUAAUUUAGGCAUCAUAAGAUAGAGCAUGAUUUUAGAACAGGUAUAAAACUACUUUCAUAAUUUUUUCGAGGUAAAAUAUUUUUUUAUGAAUUAUCUAAGAUUAAGCCAAACAUUAUGAUUUUUAAUUGAAUAAAAAUUUCAAGGGAAAGAUAUUAAAAGUAAUUAUUGUUCGAUUUACCUCUCUAAGCUAUCAAAGGGGUCAAAUUUAGCCCUGUCGUGGCUGAUGACGUGAUUGCCAUCCAAGAGUGUUCAGAGUGCAAAAACAAAAGAUUCUGGCUUCGCUCGGCUGUGCUACUUCCGAUGCGCUGCAGGCGGGCAACUAACCAAAAGUAGUUGUACCACAAUCAAAGCCGUUUAAAAGUUGGAGAUUAAAAAUCCCAGUUUUAUAAAUGAAGAAGGAAAAUUAGACUAUCGUAAAAGCUAAAUGGGUCAAAAAGGACCUUUUUUCCGUGGGAAUAAUCGAGACCUUAAUUAAACGGGCCGAGAUCUAGGUUUGCAGAGAGAGUUAUAUUUUUUUCUGAAUUUAUUUAGUAAAUCCCAUAAAUUCAUAAUCCAUGCGUAUAUAUAUAUACACGUGCCGUGAUCACGGCGCCUCGAAUAAUUUUCCCAGACGUUGGUAGUACUAGAAGCUAGUGGGAAGUGGAAGAUGAUGGAAAAACAAAACACGUCCGAUUAAUUAAAUUGCCAAUCAAUCUCGCCAUCACGUGCUCGAUCGCAAAGCACCAAUGAACGCCCAGGGUUAAUUACCAAACACGGAGAUGAGUAGACGACACGACGACGACGACGACGACGACGACGACUCAGCGGCGCACAGCGCACAUCUCCAUCAUCACCGUAUGAGCUCAUUCGGUUGUUUUGUCGGCUAUAUUUUUUUAUGUCAGCCAACAAUAUAUUUUUCUUUUAUAAUAAAUUACUAAAUAAUAUUUUCAACUAUGACUUUUCAGACCAACAAAUAGACUCUUAAAGCGCACGGAAGAUGGAGAGAUCUGCCAUACCAUGCCACGCCACACCCAAAGAGGCACGAAUAGUACUUCUCGCCUCCACUACAAGAAACCUGAUAAUCCAUGACGUAACAUUUUGGUCACGAAUCACCAAAAAACCGUCACUAUAUAGCAUCUGUGACGGUUUUAGAUACCGUCAUGGAUUGAGCGUCAUGGAUUGUCCUCCGUGACGGUUUAUCGAAAACCAUCACAGAUUAACGUAAUCAGUGACGAUUUUAAACCGUCACGGUAGAGCCCGAGGCCUAAUUAACCCAGCCCAAGCCCAUUUUUUAUGACGAAAAAUAACCGUCACAGAUUAAACAACCACCUCAUCUUUAUACUGACAUGGAUGCUGACGUGGAUGUUAAAGCAGCAAUGACGUGGACACUGACAUCAGUGCUGAUGUGGACACUGACGUGGAUACUAGCAGCAUUCUUGCUGAUUUUUAAAAAUCUCGUAAUAAUAUAACAAGCAUCACAUGCAAAUAAAUCAUGUUUUCAUUCCAUUCCAGUAAUCAAAUACACCAAACAAUAUAAUGGAUGAAGUGUCGUAAUGACAACUUGUUUCAGUAAUCAAAUACAAAGUCUCACGUUAAUCACAUCUCACGUUUCUACUAACCAAAUACAAGGUCUUGUAAUGCUACACGAUUCAGGCUCUGCAGCAGUUUUCUUGUUGCUGAAAACACGAUUGUCUAUCCUCCAAACUGCACUAUUUUCAUUUGUCACCCUGCAGCAAAACACAGCACAAACGUAAGUACAGUCAUUCCAUUUGAUCUGUCUGCACGGAUGAAAACGUAGCAGUUAGAAAACAACACAAUUCACAUAAUAAAGGAAUGCAAAAUACAAACCCAUUUCUAACAUGUGCAUAGAACAAUGAACAAACCGAGUCAUGGACAAAGCCAUUAUGCCUCUAGCAGUUAAAAAAAUACCAGUUUGCAGUUAUAGCUCAAACAUUCAAGUUGUUUAGACAAAAAUAAGUGCUGCAUUCAGCAGGAGUCCUGGAUUCCCAAUAAACUAGUUGGCCCCCCCCACACAUCGCGCGAGCUUGAGGAAGCAUAAUAUGUCACUAGUAGGAAUGGCGCGCCGAUUAUGAACAAAAUAGAUAAGCGGAUAGAAAGUAUUGGAAGUUGAUAAAUAUGUACAGAACAACAAGGUUUGUAAUAAAGUUUUAGUACACUAUAAACGAUGAUAGGAGGUGCCACUGUAUUAAGAUGGACAAGUUUAACAGGCAAAGAAAAACAUUGUCAAGUGUCGAAUAAAGUUGUUAUGCAAGGUUAGUAUGAAGUGGGUUGAUGCCUAGAGUUCUAGCAAUUCUACUUAAGGAAAUAACAGAGGCAAUAUUCUACAAACAUUAGUUCAUGAGUAGGUGGUGCCAAUUAAAAGCUACGAAAUUAUGUAGGCAUGACCCUUGUCAUUCUACAAAAGAAGAUGACCCCGCGUUUUAAGACGGUGGUGCACCCUGCGAUAGCAAAGAAUAAGAAAAUGGUCAAGGGAUUUUAUAACAUAUAAAUCUACGAAAGAUUUAGGAGUAUUGUUGACAAGACAAUUUAUGAGGUAUUACAAAACAAUAUUAUUAGGAGUUAAAAAUAUCUAAGGUUGUAAAAAUAGUGUACACAUAUUAGAUUGAAAGUGAGUAACUACAAAUACGGCUCACAAAUAAUAUGUGUAUAUGAAGUGGAACACUAAAAUGAUAAAUUUGAGUGUUUGAUAUAUUGUCUACUCUAAAACUGCACAUGACAGGUAGCUAGAAAAUACCAAACAAUAAUCAGCACUAAUUCUAGAAUCCCUACAAUAUAGGAGGUAUAUGAGGUAGCUAGAACCAAACAUAUAACAACUAAAGAAUCACAUAACACAAAUAGAGUAUCCCGCUUAAUGAAAGUGGCUAGAGGUCGACUAUGCCCUAUGGGCCCACACAAGCAUACAUAAUAUGGACACAUAGGAAAUACCAACACCAGAAAACGUAUAAGCUGUGACUGAAUGGAAUGUCACAUAAGGAAAAAAAAUAGCAGUAAGCAUAACACAUAAAUCUUGUUUUUUUGUUGAGCAAAAGUUUUUGACAUGGACGCUAAGCAAUAAAAAAGUAAUUGCAAAUGCUAGUAAAGUAGAAAAUAUAGUAGCCUAAUGUAGCAAAGAAGAUAAGUCCGCAGCCAUAGCCACACGCUUACUUUCUCUAGCAUUGUAUUGGGUUCUUCCACAUUCUUAUCAGUAUUGCCAGCUCUAGCUUCCAGAGCUUUUUUGUUCUGUAAUAUCAUUGUCGAGUUUCUCAGUCUGCAAGAAGUUGGAUCAGAAAGCACAACAACCAGCCCAUUACCUGCUUCUCGAGCUCAACAGCCAUAGUACCUAUCUUAUGUGAUAUUUCCUUGACAAUCAUAUGCGGUGUUUGAAUUGCAUCAUUCUUGGUCUACAACUCUAGAUUCUGCUAUGCAAUGCAUGACUCUGCAGAAUGAAAAGAAUCAUGCCAGUUUGUCACGCUUGGAAAUUUUAAGAUAAAUGAAGAAACAUUUUUCUAUGAUUAGAACUUGGUACAAACUUGCACUCAGCUACACAGGGUAUUUUCUGCAGAAUAGUUUACCUUAGACUGAAGCUAAAACUACAGCCUACAAAAUAUGAUAGAUUGGUAUGAACGUAUAUAAUGUAUUAUAACUCACAGGGGGAAUGUAAGCAGAAUGAUGAUCCUUUUUUUAUUCUAGAGAUCAAUAAUUUUAGCAAUGUCAUAGUUAAUUCAUUUAAACUGUUCUUAAAACAAGGUAGAAACUUGAUUGCAAGAUGACUGACCUUUACAAAAGGCAUCCUACGAGCUCUGCCCUUGUUGAAACUUGACUGCAAUAACAACACCACGCUGCCCACUACAGCUAAUGUCGUAACCUUUCCUCUUUAUUGCCAAAACAGUUGUUCCCACAUGUCUAAAAAUCUGACCUACUAUUUGGUAAUUCAAUAGUUUAGAUAGUUGGUCAAAACAUCAUAAGGAAGAUGACAUGACAAAAAAAAACAAUUGCAUUGGCAAAUCUCUGAGUACAGAAUAAGUAUUAAAUUCAUAUUCAAAAAUACAAUGAGACAAUAUUGGCAAAUUCAUACUACAGAACCAAUUAAUUGAUAGAAGCUGAUAUAGUGAGACAAUAUUGGUAAAUCUGCAGCUGUAUGUUUGAAGCGCUACUACACAGUGCUCGCUCAUGGCGAAGGUGUGGUCACGGAGGGAGCAGAUCUCCUGGCCUUGCAGCUUCUGCACACUACUUACCAUCGCCUCUUUCCUUGGCCUAGCCAGCACCCGACACCGACUGUAUAGGCACAGGCUCGCCGAGAUCCACCUCGAAUGCAUUCCCAACCUAGGAUCUGCAGUGUAGGGGAUAGUCGGAGUAGGACGGCAUCACAGGGGGCCUGGCCGGCGGCGCAGGAGGCCGAAGGAGGUGGAGCUCGUGUGGGGGGCAGGGGGCUUGGCCGGCAGCGCAGGAGGCCAAAGGAGGUGGAGCUCGUGUGGGGAGGCAAGGGUCUUGGCCGGCGGCGCAGGAGGUCGAAGGAGGUGGAGCUCAUGUGGGGGGCGGGCUUGAGGACGGUGGCGCUUGGGUGGGUGGCACGAUGGGGGCAGCGGCGUCGGUUGGGUGGUGGCGCUCGAGUGGGAGGUGUCGUAGGGGCGACCACGCACGGCCAGGAGACGGGGAUGGUGGUGCGUGGUGGCGGCCAGUGGAGAUUGGGAGGGGAUGGAUUUAGGUUUUGCCACACUUUAUAUAUGCAAGCAGGUUUUGGGUUUUGGGCUGGAUAUCCAUGGUGCUGGAGUGUGUAUUGUUAGUGAUAAUGUACAAUUGGUGACGUUUUUUGAAUCCGUCACGAAGAAUCCGUCACAGAUUAACAGGUUUCUUGUAGUGCUCGCGUCGUCCUCACUCACAUGUCCCUUGGCGCUUCCAUCAAGUACAGUAGUAGCCAUGCAUACGGCAUGCAUGAGAUCGACAGGUUCCUUACUCUAUAGGAGUAUGCUGCAGUGCACGGCAACCAUAGCCAGAUCGAUCGAUCGAUCGAAGCAGGGAGCAGAUGCUUUUGUUCCCCAUGCAUGUCCCAUGUGUCAGAGCAUCAGCAUAUGACUUGGCGGUGGCGCCGUCCCGGCCGGAGGGCACGCAUACGCAUGCAGCUCCGGCCGAUCGAUCCGGCCGGCGCUCGAUCGGCGACAGCUCCCAUGGGCUGGCACCAACGUGCCUGCAUAUGCAUAUGGUAUAGUGGGAAAAUGUACAUGCCUGUCCAUAUUCUAACAGGAUCCGGACAAGUGGUUCUGUAAUCUAGUGCGUGCAAUUGCAAUGCACAUGCAGCACCGUUUCUGUCGGUCAAUGCCUCCCGGCACAGGCUUAUUUUGUUCUGUAAGCAAGACGUACCACUUGUUGCAACACUACUAGGCAUCUGCUCAUCAAUGACGUUUCACUUUCGUCACAGAAAACUCCAAAAUCGUCACUAAACUUCAUCUGUGACGAAUUUGUGAUGAAAAGUCGUUCGUCAUGGAAUGAGCGUCAUAGAUUGACUACCGUGACGAAAUGCAUAAUUUUGUCAUAGAUGUGCAUUCAAUAUAUGACGAAAUAUGUAUGAAGUGAAUCCAUUCUAUGACAAAAUAUUUUCAUCAUGGAUGUACGUUGCUUUCGUCAUAACAUGUUGUCCCAUUAGCCUAACAGACGGCGUUUGCCACGUUGGCAGCUGACAUGUCUGCUGACGUGGCAGGCCACAUGGCAUGACACGUGUCGUGCGGACGUGGAGCCCGACACGUGUCACGCUGACAUGGCACUUGACACGAUUCAUGCUGACGUGGCAAACGACACGUGUCGUGCUGACAUGGCCACUUGCUGACGUGGCGUGUGACACGUGUCGGCUUCGUUGGCUGCCACAUGUCAUUUUUAAAUGGGGCCACAUGGCAUCCUGUGAUUUGUUAUCGUUUUCGUCACAGAUCAUAUUAUGCGAUCGUCACAGAACAUAAAAUAAAAUCAUCAUAGAAGUGAACUCUUCAUAACAUUGAAAUGACCAAAAUAAAAAUUGUAGAUCUUUAUUAGCUCUACAACUUUUAUGUUCAUGACUUUUCGAGCUGAAAUCAUUUACUACUUCAAGAUGUAGUUUGUAGUUGCCAUUUUUGGAAAUCCAAAUUUUAAAUUGAUAAAACAAAUUCACAUGUAUAUAUGCAAAAGAAUUCAAAACAAAUCACACAUACACAUGCAUAUAUAUAUAUAUAAUAUAUAUAUAUAUAUACACACACACAAGAAGAAAACCUGAGGACGCACGGUGAGGAUUCAAAGUUGGGCCGCACGAUGUCGAUCACCUGGGGACGCACGACGACGAUCAGCUGGGACGCACGUGACGAUCACCUGGGGACUCACGUGAGGACACUUGAGGAUCACCUGCUAGGGAUGCACGCGUCGGCGGUGAUCACCUCCUAGGGUUGCACGCGUCGGCGCCGAUUACCUGGGCACCCUAUACAUGCACGUAGCCGCCAGGAACGAGCUUGCGCGAUGGUUUCUCUGCACCUCGCGCAUACAUAAAAGUGACGAUGGAUCAUGGGUAUAGGGCCCAUUAAGUCAGAUGGAUUAAAAAAAAUCUGUGUACAAAUAAACAAACAUGUGUCAUAGAAACAAAAAAAGCUUCAUUGGUCUAGUGGUAAAGGUAGCACCCUCUAAAUCAACAAGUUGUAGGUUCAAACCCCCUUGUGGAAGAUUUUUUAAUUUUUUGGGAAAUAAAAAAGGAAGUUCGGUUUAAUAACUAAACAAAUAAAGCAACAUACAAGACUAUAGCACAAAUGAUUGAGUGGUCUGGUGGUAACUCACCUGUUCUUGCAACAAUAGGUUGUGGGAUCCAAGAUCCCAUGGAACGUGUUUUUUUUGCCAAAUAAAAUAAAAACCAGAGUCAUGGCCACAUCAGACGUGGGGCCCGCUGGCCGGACCACGCCACCACGUCAGCGAGGCAGGGACCGCUGGUGGAAUCCUGUCGCCACGUCAACAGGGUGGGACUUCGGCAUCACGUUAUGACGGUGGGACCCGCCGGUAGGGACCCACUUGUGGGACCAUGACGCCACGUCAACGACGUGGGACCAACAGGUGACACCAUGGUGCCAUGUCAUGCCUGUGGGACCCACUAUUGCCAACAAUCUAUGAUGAUUUAGUUAUGAUGAUCAAUGAAGUUGUUUCCAUUUUCGUCACUGUUCUUCGUGCCAAAGCUCCGCCACUUGUCAACCAUGACGAAGCUACUAAUUUCGUCAUCGAAUGACCUAAAUCUGUGACGAAAAUAGUAAGCGUCAUUAGUGAUUCGUCAUUGAUGAACACAUUUCUAGUAGUGCAAGGAGAAAGACUUUAUGCUCUUCGAGCUCAGCGUAUGAUCGAUCACUAACCUUUCUGCCUUGCUAUCCGUUCAACAACUGCAUUUUUCAUUUAGGAUACGAACCCGCAGAAAUGUUAUAUGACGACCUCGCCGCGUUUGGAUGCAAAUAAAAAUAUGUAAGCUUAGUGAUGGAUCACCAUAGAAAAAAAUGGCUAAUCGGCGUAAAUACUUUUUUGUUGUUGUUGUACUUAUAGAUUCGUAAACUUUUUUUUUUUAAAAAAAAAACUUAUGGAUUCGUAGCUGACGAGAAAUAGGACAACGAUAAAGGGGCAUAGUCGGCGAGCUCAUCUGCCUAGCUGACUGACCGGUGGGCCCUCACUGAAACAGAGCUUCGGACAAGACAACCCCACUAGGCCACUCGGCGGUUCGGUCACUCUUCUGUCUUCUCUUUGCCCAUUUCAACGGGACGACGGUUCCAUUUCGCAUCGAUCGUUGUCCGCUGCUCUUCUUCCUCCUUCAGGCCAGCGGGCAAGAAGAAGAAGAAAAAUCAAAGCUUGCGGGCGAGAGGCGGUGCCCGGCCGGCAAGCGAGCGAAGCCAUGGGUGGCGGCGGCAGCAACAGAGGCGGCGCCGGCGAGGAGAGCGGCAGCGACCACGACGGCGGGCUGCGGAAGCCGCUGCUCCACACGGGCAGCUGGUACCGGAUGAGCUCGCGGCAGUCCAGCGUCGCCCCCGGGGCCUCCUCCAUGGCCGUCCUGCGGGAGUCCCACGUCUCCGCCUUCCUCUGCACACUCAUCGUCGCGCUCGGCCCCAUUCAGUUCGGCUUCACCAGCGGCUUCUCCUCCCCGACCCAGGACACCAUGGUCCGGGACCUCAACCUCUCCAUCUCCGAGGUAACUAACUAAUUAACCCACGUCUCUGAGAUUUUUUUUUCUUUUGAAGAAUCGCGCGUGAGAAUAAUAUUUACUGACCGCGCUGCAGUUCUCGGCGUUCGGCUCGCUGUCCAACGUCGGCGCCAUGGUCGGGGCGAUCGCCAGCGGGCAGAUGGCCGAGCACAUUGGCCGUAAAGGGGUGAGAAAUUCGAGCCCCUUUCUUUCUUGGUAGUUAUCAGCUGUCCUUCCAUUUUAUGAACAGUUUGUUACUUGUAAGCCGACGAUGAAGGAGGGUCAUCAUCAUCGCUUCUUUAUAGACAGAGAGGAGUCUGCGUUAAGACUUUAGACUAGCCAACAAGAAAAGCCAUCCUUUUCUGUGAUAGAUAGAGAACCCAAAUAUAAAUAGGAUACCGGUAUUUCAUAAAUUAGAUGGGAGGACUUUUUCUUCACAAAAUAAAAGCAGGUGGAAUUUUGAAAAUACUCAAUAAUUUUCCAAGAAUUAAUGCCUGUGGACUGUGUUCUUUUUGUGCAGUUAACCAAAUUGGGAAUUUGCACGGUUUCUACAUGUUUGUCUGUUCCCUACUUUCCUUUGCUAUUGAUAUUCUGUAUUAAUCAUGCAGUUUUAGCGUGUCCAAGAAAUGGUGUGGAUUGUGUAUUUUGUACAUAGAAGUUCAGUCUGGUGUUCAACAUAUCACAUCAUUUCAGUCAUAGUAAAUUGCACUAGAGAUGUACUAUUUGGUCUGACGGUUUUGCUAAAUGGUUGCAGUUGUUGAUGAUUGCUGCAAUCCCGAAUAUCAUCGGUUGGCUUGCGAUCUCCUUUGCAAAAGUACUCAACAAGUACAUGUUCCCUGAGUUUAUUUUCACCCAUUGCUGCUUCUGAAAACAGAAGAUUGAUGCCUGCCAUCUGUCGAUGUCUGUUUUACAGGAUGCCUCAUUUCUUUAUAUGGGACGAUUGCUUGAAGGGUUUGGUGUCGGCAUCAUAUCCUAUACGGUUUGUAAAAGAAGAUUUGUUGCCAGCUUAUUUUUUGCACAGAAGAUUUGUACUUUCAAAACUUAAGAACUGGUGCAGUUGCUGCUUGAAAAAGUGAGAGAUCAAAAUAUUGAGUGAGAUUCCAAUAUUUUGGGAACAUUUAGGGGUAAAAAAUGGAGGCAGAGUGAAUCAUGACCAAUGUAUAAUUUAUUUGUUUCCGAAAGAACCUUGGAGGUUUGGACUAAUUACAAGACUAUUUCUUAUUAAUUUGUUACCAGGUACCUGUAUACAUAGCAGAGAUAUCUCCUCAGAACAUGAGAGGAGCUCUUGGUUCUGUGAACCAGGUGUGCUUCCUCAAAACAAUCUUAUCUUUUUGUUAGAAAAAUAGUACUUGGUUUAUUUAUAUUUGAUCCAUUGUGCAAUUGUUCAUCCUUCAGUUGUCUGUGACCUUUGGCAUAUUCUUGGCCUAUUUGCUCGGCAUGUUUGUUCCUUGGAGACUUCUAGCUGUGAUCGGUAAUGUUGCUGACUACUGAUGUAUUACUGAAUUUUCUUUUCUUCUUGUUGCUUACAGUUUAUACUCAACCACUCAUGUUUCAGCUCACAAGAUUGCUAACUGCAAAUGGCAGUCCCCAAUAUGACUAUAAUCUUAGAAAUAUACUAUCUAGGAAGAUAUUAAAUGCGGACUAGUAUGUGUGUCAUUAUUUCUUAUCUAAAUGUCUGGGUUGCCAAUUAUAGGAGCCUUGCCCUGCACAGUGUUGAUUCCUGGACUAUUCUUCAUUCCAGAAUCUCCCAGAUGGCUGGUAUAUAUAUAUGCAUAAACUGGAUCUGAAAUAUGAUAUGUUGCAUCAAACUGAAAUCUUAGCUGCCAUUUAUCUUGCUCUUAUCUCUAGGCAAAGAUGAAUUUGAUGGAAGAUUGUGAGACGUCCCUACAAGUGCUGAGGGGGUUUGAGACUGACAUAACGACAGAAGUGAAUGAUAUAAAGGCAAAGCACCUCUAUUAUUCCUCUGGAGUGACUAAAUUCAGUAUAUAUGAUCUAUUUCCAGUUUAGCUGUGAAGAUCUUAUUUAAGUUAGACACAUGGAUCUAUGUACCACGUUCUUAUGGAAUAAACGGAAUCAUCUUUACUUUUGAUCCUUUUGCAGAGAGCAGUGACAUCAUCAAGUAAGAGGACUACAAUAAGUUUUCAAGAAUUAAACCAAAAGAAAUACCGCACGCCACUACUUGUAACUUCCUUAACUUCGUCAGCUUAAUCCAUGCCAAAAUCAACAGCUAUAGUUUCUAAUUGUGAUUAUUUAUUAACUUGGCAGCUAGGAAUUGGCCUACUUGUACUACAAAAUUUAAGUGGAAUCAACGGUGUACUGUUUUAUGCAAGUAACAUCUUCAAAGCUGCUGGUAAGCUGCAGUCUUUAUCUUGUCUGUACUUUUUUAGGUCAUAGUAGUUGGUUUAAUAAGUUUUAGGCAUGAUAACUUUGGUACCUUGCAAAUUUAAUUGGAAAUGAUAAUGACUACUGAUAACCAAUAAUGAAGCAACCUUUAAUACCAUUGUUUGUUUGGCAGUAUGCUUUCCAGAUGAAGGAAUAGAAUAAUUAGACUACUGAUUUUCAAGCCACUAGAAUGCACAAACUUUAUGUCUUCCUAGAUCAUAGUAGGAUCAAGAAAGAUUAUAAAAUGACUUAUCUAUAACUCUUAUAAUCCUAAACCCCACUAACUAUUUCUCUAAGCAUGCAAGCUAUCCAUCUAAGCAAUGCACUACCAUAUUCAAUUAAAAUCCACUAAGUAAAAUCUCAAUAACUAUUUAUUUCAACAUGCAAUGCACUACCACAUAUACAAUUAAAAUCCAAUAGCACACAUGAUAACUAUAAUGUCCAUGUCAGCGUACUAUAUAAUCCACUAAUCCGCAAUUCCCGCAGCAAUGCGCGGGGUAUGUUCCUAGUUAUAAUAUAGUUUAUCAUUCCCUGUCAUCACUAAAAGAUGGCAUUUCACUGCAUUUGUAAAUUUAGAUCAUUUCCGCAUCUGAUAGACCCUAUGUAUUAUUCGAAUGAAUACAUAGGCGCUAUGUACUAAUAGUUUGAGCUCCUUUACCAUGCUUUACAACAACGAUAAGUAUACUUUUGUUCCAAA
rnacentral:lncRNA from 1 species